AGAAAACAGAAGCUUUUCGCGGGUCAUAUGUUCGCCAAAGAUUAGAGGGAGGCAAGCUUUUGCUGAUUUGCUUAUGCAGCUUGAGCGCGACAGGCACAGAGAACUUGAUGCAUUGGCAGAGCGUCAAGCAGUUUCAAGAUUCACUCACCGCGGUCGCAUUCAGGUAAAAAAAAUUUUUUUUUUUCAUACAAUGUUCUAAGUACUUUACAAAUUUCUUACCAUUUCAACACUCAGAUUAACUAAUAUUCUGUGAUUAAUUUGCAGGCAAUGCUUAGGCUUAGAUUUCUACACCGUGGCAUGGCAACUCAAGAUCAACAAUUAUCACUAGCAUCCGGUUCAAGAUCAUUUAACCGGUUAUCACAAAGGUCUGCAAUCAGGCAUCUAAGGUAAAUAAAUGCAAUUUUUUUUUAAAACCAUUUUUGGAAUUGAAGAAUCAUUGACAUUUGCUCAGGAUUUAAUACAACAGUAACCAUGCAUAUGACAUUAAUGCUUUAGUACUCAGAAGAGAAUGGAUAUAUAAAUUAAUAAAUGAACUGCAAAGAAAUGAUAACUGUGAUGAAGGUUAGAUUAAAAUGAUAGAAUCAAUCCAUUCCUUCUGUUUGUGGAUUUCUAACUUUGGUUAUGAUUGCAUUCUUUGUCGCAGACCAGAAUGUAGGCAAGACUAGAUUAGUUUGAAAAUGGAUUUUAAUAUUCAAUAAAUUCUUACAAGAUUGAUCAAAAUAUUUUUGACAAGCAUUAGCUGAAUCUUGUUCCUUUUAAUUUUCGAAACAUUCAGCUGUACUAUUAUAUGCUGGGAGAAAUUGUUGCUAGUUCUGUUAACAUGGAUGUAAAAAAAUUCAGGGAUAAAUUCAGCCCUGCUGCUAAUCAUGGAGUCACAGCCCAGAAUGAGGCAACUACUUCAAGAAACCCCCAUGUGGAGAUGGAAAAUAACACUGUACAUUUGAAGGAUUCUUCCAAUGCCAGCGGGCUAAGAGAAGUCGGUCAACUUCAGGAAGCUACUACUGCUGAGAGAAUGAGUGCAGCUUCAGAAGAUAACUCUGUGUCACAAAAAAGUGAAAAACAUCAGAAAGAAGCCAAAUCAAAAACUGAUGCCACACAGAAAGGAACUAAGAUGGACACUACCUCUGAUCAUCUGAAAGAAGCCACUCCAAAAACUGAUGUCACACAGAAAGAACUUAACAUGGACACUACCUCAGAUCAUCAGAAAGAAGCCAGUGUGAAAGCUGAUGCCCCACAGAAAGGACUUAACAUGGUAACUACCUCAGAUCAUCAGAAAGAAGCCAACCUGAAAACUGAUGUCAAACAGAAAGGACUUAACAAGGAGACAACCUCUCUUGAACCACGAGGAACUGCUGAAAUGAUGACAUCCUUAGAUGGUAGGGGUAUAAGAAGUGAGAUAGCAGAAAUCCAAGAAGCCAACACCCAUGGGAAAUCACAACCAACAGCAUCCUUCGAUGGUCAGAAUGCGAAUGAAGUGGCAGAUGAAGCAGAAGAACAAGAGACCAAUGUAAAGCAACAGCUUUUUCUUGGUCUACAGGAAAAUGCAGAAACAACAGCAUCCUUGAAUGAUUGGGAUGAGAAACUGGCUGAAGAAGAAGAAGAAGAGACCUACUUGCAGGACCAAUUUCCAGAAACCAAUUAUGACUGGAUUAGUGAAAUAUCUCGCCCACGAAGUUAUUGGGAAGAUCGUAGGCAAACAUGGUACCGGGAGAUGCUUAAUAGCAGCUCGCAGAAUGAGGAGAUACGCCAACUUCUUGAAAGGUAUGCUGGCUUUUGCUAUAAUUCUUUAUUUCCUCCCCUUGCACUCACAGACAUACAACUCUAAUGGAAGCAAAGUAAUUACUUUAUGGCAAGAUUAAAUAAAAGGUGGUUCAGAGAACAUUUAAAUACUGUGUUUUGCUACAAGAGCUAGCUUCUUACAGUCAUUAUCACAGAUAAGAACCUGACGCAUUAAGCUUGGAACAAAACGCUCUCAUGGACCAUUUUUUCUUACUCAUAUUAUUUUUAUUAAUUCCAAUCAAUGGAAAUUAUUAUCAGUAAAUGGUGAUAUGAACUGAUGAAGAUAAGUAGCAUAGAUUGAUUAGUUAUAUGAGAAUAAAGAUAUAUUCUCAUUACUAAAGAUCUGUUUCCCUUAGAAGAUACAAAUGUUUAUCACCCUAUAUUGCAAAUUGAAUUGCCAAUUUGUGCCUGCAGAAGAAGAGUAUCAACUUUUCUUUCCAGUGACUUCCGGGACAGAAUGGACCAAUUGAUGACCACUCGUGUAGAAAGACAAACGGAGCUAGAAGCCUAUCAAGAAGAAGAAGAGGAGGAGAUGAGUCAAGAGAGAGUAGGCCAAUUGUUGUUGGCUCACCUACAAAGACAUAUGCAUUCAGCAGCUAGUCAAGAAGGAGAGCAAGCAGAAGAAGGAGAUCAGGUGGGACAAGUAGCUGAACCUUUAGUAGUCGAAGAGGAAGAGCAAGAACCAGAACACCGAGAAGAAGAUGAGGAACAAGAAGAGGAAGAAGAUGAACCUGACGAAGAACAACGGAGUCCAACAAGUCCUCUGUUUCAUGAAGCAAGUGAUGAUUUUGAUCAAUCCUCACCAUCUGUGCAAAUGACUUCUCCAUCUACGACGCAAACAUGGAGUUAUCAAGACCAUGAAGUUGGAGAUGAGUCUGAUCCAGUUGCAUCUACAUCUUCACCCCAGCCUUUACCGGCUCAAGCUUACUAUCAAGAUAGCCGGCAGUCCUCUUCCUCUACGAACCACAUAUCAAUAGUGAGUAUCACUUAUAUCUUCCUCUAUUGAUCUUAGUUGAGCCUUAUUCAAUUCCUCUUCAAAAGACUCAACUUGCUUGAAUACUUGAAGGAAACGGAACUCAUUUAUGAUUUAAGAGGGCAAAUUGAACAACUCCACCGUGAGAUGUCUGAGCUGAGAAAAUCAGUGCAGAGUUGCGUGGACAUGCAAGUGAAAUUGCACCAAUCCAAUCAACAGGAAGUUCAUCCAGGUGAGCUGGGGGACACAGAAUUCAUAUCUUCUUCAUUUAGAUGCCGUCUUCUUUGUUUGGUCUUUUAUCAUUAAGUAAAUUGCAAUGACAAAUUUUAUUACAGUUCAGGGGAUGGGGAAUAACUCGCUUUAUGGGGCACCAAAGAAACGCAGUUGUUGCAUUUGCUAUGAAAUGCAGGUGGACUCACUUUUGUACAGGUUGGUGCCUUAGCUUGGAACCCAAACAAUCCUUUCUCUGUUUGAAUCCCCAUCUUCUGAGCAUAAGAAGUACUCAUCUCACCAGCUAAAUUUGCUAAUGCUAUACAGAUGUGGGCAUAUGUGUACCUGUCUCAAAUGCGCCCAUGAGUUGCAAUGGAGUAGUGGAAAGUGUCCAAUAUGCCGGGCUCCAAUUGAUGACGUUGUUAGAGCAUUCAUGGAUUCAUAGAGUUCCGGUGAACGAGUUCUUGCGCUAGAGGACCGUCUUUAUUGCUGAAGCUUGGAUCGAAAAAUGCUAGUACUUUUUUCUUGCCUUAAUCACCAUAAUUCUACUUCACCCCAACUUAAUUAAUGUUAAUCAUGAUUUCACCUCUGCACAUAUGUACAUGUUUUUUGGAGGGGAGACAGACAACAAUUUCUCUCUACAGACAAUUUUCUUUUCUUUUUUUUCUUUCUUUCAGAAAUUUUCUUUGACCUGUAGCUAUAUGAUUGUAAAUCUGACCAGAUUGACAAAUGAAUGCUUGUUCUUCACUGGUCAUGUCACCAUCCUCUGUACAUAUUAUGCCAUUAUACAUUGUGUAGACAAUGACAAUAACAAGUUUCAAUCCUCUCACUCUCUUUCACUAGAAGAGCGUGUGUGUUAAGGUAGAUGCUGGGAGAAUAUGUAACCAAGAAUUUUUCUGGGUGACAGGAAGUUUCAAUUAGGAAAUACAACAUUGUCAAAGUGAGAAUGCCUGUAGAAUAAUGAGUAGUCUACUUCUAUUGUUCUUUCACCUUGUUGAACGUGGAUAACAUUAGAUGACUUGCAAACAAUGCUUCAAGAAAUAGUAAAGAUAUCUUGAGAAUCAUUUUUUUUUUUUAACUUUUAUGAAACUGAAAACUAACCGACGCAGCUGUAUUAAACGAGAAGAACAAAAAACAUAAUCAAGAAAAUUAAGAAAGCUCUUUGGAUGAUAAAGACUUAUUAACAUGGACAGUUAAAACGAUCUUAAGAUUAGGGAAGUUUGGGCUAAUGCAAUCUCUUCUACUACAAUCUGCAUUGUAUAUAAGACAAAAAGUAGUUGUAUUGAACCUUAACCUUGUUCAUUGUUGUGCGAUGUAUGUGAGGGAUUCGGAUUCAGUGGUGAACUGACCUAUAUUCAACUCUUCAUAAUCUUAUACCACACGUUCAUGUAUAACAAUAUAGGGUUAAGGUUUAAUUAGUUUAUAUUUUUAUCUAAUAACUACUAAUUAUAUAUUUGUAAAAGGUCAACUCAAUACUGAAUCUAAAUCCAUAUGUGAGAUGUCUGCAAUGCAGAAGUUUAAAGAAUUCUCACAUCCUAAAAUAGAGAAACUAUUGUAUCAGUUUACACUUAGAUUAAAUAUUUUUUUGGAAGUGUUGAAGUUCCUAAAAUUGAAAUAUGAAAGUGUAAAUGAACCCAAAAAGCUGCAGGGGAUGAUGAGAUUAUAAUAAUAAAAGGUUUAGAAAGAAAAAGAAAAACAAAGAAGCUGCUAAAAUUGAAACCAAGAAGUCAAAAAUCUUCCGGGAAUUAUGAAAUCUCUCUUAAACAUACCUUUCAGUAGACCUUGAUAAAUUUUUCCACUACUGGCCAAGGCCAUAUUUGUUAAAAUAGAAUGUCAUAUCUUGAGAGUUGAAAGAUCUUGAUCUCCUAAUAAAAACUUUUCUAAGGACAGCAAUUUUUUCAUGGUUUUAGUUUACUUCUAAUCUUUUGUUAUGUUAUUUCAAAUAUUUUGUUAUAUUAUUUCUUUAAAGUAGAUAUGAUCUUUUUUUCAUAUAGAUCAGUUGGUAUAGGGUUAUUCUAUAUUAACUAAGGUAUUCGGUUUGAGGCUUACGAAUACAGUUGCAUUAAAUACUCAUUGGAAAAGUUUUGCCGACUUAGUGGUCCUACACACCUCGAAUUUGAAAUGGGCUCAGUGUAGUCUUUGGAAACAAGAUUAGUAAUAUACCAAUAUAUAUAUAGAGAGAGAGAGAGAGAGAGAGCUUGACAAAUAAUAUCUUGAUGCAAAGUUAGUUUUAAAACUUAUUAAUACCACUUUGAGAUUUGGUUACGCUGAAAUGAAAAAGGAAGAAUUCAUGCUUACAUAAUCUAUCAUCAAAUCUCAUAAAUGUGUCAUGAUCAAUAGUAGUAAAAGCUCACCAGAAUGUUAGCAUGUGUUAUGAUUGAUAAGCACAUGGGGUUAGCUAGUAGCUUUAUUAGCAUCACAGAUGGACACGCAACUUAACAAAAACCAGGACCGCUAAUGGCCCCUACGUUUCCACGACAUCGAUAGUUUUCGAACUUGAAAAUGGCUUAAACCAGUGCAUUUAUUCAAUUGGUUAAAUGUUAUUACAGCAUAUUUUAUCCUAUGCUCUGGUUACUUUAAUUAGCUUCUUGCGAGCUGCGUCCGCACAAAACGACUCGUAGGCUUGUGUUUAGACUCAUGUGACAAGUCCGGUGAAUGAAUCAUAACCUUAACAAGGCCCUCCACAUACAACUUAUCCUCUUAAGUAAAUAAUAAUGAUGGAUCUGCAUCAAUGUCCCCUUAACAAAAGAAAUUGCUUAGAGCACAUAGACAUUACAUUGAGUCCAACGUCACUUGAAUAUACAAUAUGAAAUGUCUUUGUCACCCCACGAUUCCUCAAAGAGACGCCAAGCAGCGAGGUCCACAUUGCCGUUCUGUGCUUGGUGUAUAAACAGGAACAAUCACUUUUCAUUAAUGCAAUUGUGAUUGGCUUGCAACAGCUCACAAAGGCAAGUCCAAUUAUGUUAACUUAUUCUUGUUUUCCUUUAUUGCAUCAAAUUGCUCUUUAUGUCAUGAUAAGGCUCUAACAGAAUAUGUUAUGUGUCUCUAGCCCCUCAUUAUGGGUAACAGCUAUUUUUGUUCCUUACAUUAGAAUCAUAUAAAAUGAUAUAUAAUUAAUCACUAAACCCAAAAACCUAAGCUAUUAAGGGCACAUUAAUUUAAUACUUAAUUUAUCUAAUUUUGAAAUUGAAUGUAUUAAACAUUAACAUACUUUUGAUGCAAAUAUUUUAAAUUUUUUAUUCAGCCUAAUCGAAAUCAAAUCCCUCCCAAUCCGUGUGAAUCAAAUUUAAUUAGUAUAUUCAUUUUAAUGCUAUAAUACUUCAGUACGAGACAAAUCCUAAAAAUUGUUUAAAAAUUGUUUUAGCUUAAUUUUAUCAGGCAUAACUGAUUAUUUUUUAUAGUGCGGAGCUUAGGAAUAAGAUUAUAAAAGCUAAAAUUUUUUAUCUCUAAUUGAUGUCCGAAAAUGGUUCUCACGAAAUAACCAAACUAAAAGAUAGGAACCUCUAUAUCAUCAGCUAACUGAUAAACAGAUUUGAUAAACAGAUUUGAAUAACAAAGAGUUAAAUUGUGUCCCAAAUAUUUGAGGACACCAUCCCCACAUAUUAUUGGAAACCAUAUAGAUAUAAUGCACUUGCCCCACAGAAAUCAGGUUACCGUAGGCAACAGAAAUGGGCAAUGCCUGCACUUUUUUGUUCUCGUGACUGCCCGUUGCAGCAUUAUAAGGGUUCUGUAGCAUAAGACAACUUCAGGAUUUUGAUUUUUGAUCGUACAAUAAUGCAUUUUAGGUGGUGUUUUUUUGAUUUUAUCUUCUUUUCUCUUUCUCUCAAAGAAUAUGUCAAAUGAAAAUAAGUAUUACUUGUUCACAGGCACAAAACAAAACAAAACAAAAUCUUCAUCCUCAAACAUAGAAACAACCCAUUCUUUAAGAUAGAGAAGCUCCCUUCCCUUCAAUGGCUAAAUUAAAGGACAUUAAACUGAUACAAAUUAAGCUUUGACGUCCCUUUCUCUUUUACGUUAAUAAUCAGUGCUCUAAUCCAUUUAAUUUUAAUCAUGUGUUUUGCUUCAAAUUUUGUCUCCGAAAUGCCUCUCAUCAUGUAUGCAAUUAUGCUGGAAAAAACACGCCGCCCGUCUCUUUUGUACAGCAAUUAAAGUGACCAGGAUGUCCCCCGGAAUUUAUUAUCACGUCUUAUUAAAUUAUUGGACAGAGAUUAAAAGUAUUAUACGUCUUUCAUUUUAAACCAUAGACCAGAACUAAUAACGUGACAGGCACGAGGAUUCAUAAAAGAAAUAUUUACACCAUCCAUCCCCCAUUACUUAAUUAUGUUUCAAAAAUCAAAACUGGUUUGUGUCAUUUUGACAAGUUGAUUGUUGUUGCUUUCUAAAUUUUAAGUCAAAAUAGGCGAAUAAGUGUUCAAGUUUCAUCAUACAAGAUCAACUGUGGAUGACAUACAAGUUUGGAGCUAUUAAUUCAAUUUUUCCAACAAAAUCAACUGUACAUGAUAUUAGAAGCUCUCUUUGUGUACAAGCUUCCCUGGCCUUAUUACGCUCAAAUCAUGUGCCCUGCCCUGUUUUGCUUUCGUAGGCUUGGACCUUUUGCCGCAGAUCAAUAAUUUUCAAGCCAAUGAUUGAAACUUUUUAAACAUAUUUCAAGUAUAGUCAUUAGCAUCUUAGUUUUACCAAAAAAGAAAAAUUUUGCAAAAAAAGGAAUGUCGCCUUCAUUCCAUAGAUUAGGAGUUAGAGUACCCAUUGUUGGAUGAUAAAUUAAAUUCAGUCCUGGAUCAUGAAACGAAUACGGGGUUUGAUUUAAAGUAUUCGAUUAAUUUCAACCAAAUGGUCCAUUGGCUAAACAAUUGGGAUUUGGGACCAUUUGAAAUUUUCAAUUAUGUGUCAGCCUACCAAGAUAGAAAUUAAUCAUAGAAAAACUUGCUCUAGGACAGCGGCUAACCGGAUCUAAAAUAACAAAAAAAAGGGCCUCUCUGAAACCUUUGAUUUUGACCAUUAAUAAUGCAUUAGUGUAAAAUAUACAUCUUCUUAAUUGUGAUGUGUGCAUGAGUCAAAUUUCAAAUAUCUUUUAUUACCUCAAAAUAUUAUUGUGAAGCAAUGAAUCUCCUAAGACACUCUUCAGCCACAUCAAAUUUUUGUCAAAAGCUAACCAAAAGUUAAAAACAUCAACCUCAAGCGAAUGACUUUGCAUUAGAUAUAGGAUAUUAUAUAUAUAUAUAUAUAGCUGGUUUUUGAGAUUGUCAGCCAGCUCUGAAGAAGGACAAUGAUUGGUCUCUCUCACCCUCUUGCCUCUCUUAUCUUCCCACUUUAGCUUGGGAUUUGAGAGAAGGCAAAGGCAUAGACUACUGUGCAGUAAAAUAAAGUGGGCAAAAGAGAGGGUCCAUUAGGAGGCUGGCAAUGGCACCACAAUACCAUCCCCAUCACACUAAUCACAGUUACCUCCUUUUUGUUCGCAUAAAUAUGGUUGUAAACAAAACUCGUUUAUUGUAAGCGUAAUAGUUAAUUCAAGUGGUAAAACUUCUUUUAAAAAAAUAUAUAUAAGAUAACCCCCUUAUCACAUGGAUGCUAGUAAAAUAUUUUGAAGUUCAAAUCCUGAUCACAUAGGAUUGAGGGAAUAAAAAAUUAGGAUGAUAUCACUGUCAAGUUGUGCUUCCAUUAGUGAGAAAGCAACGACCCUAGCAGGAAAUUGUAUGGCAGAUGACCACCCCUCCAUGUUACAACUUCAAAAAGCCUGACCCACAUUUCCAAUUUAUAAACCCACCAAAUUACAAUUCCCAUUCCAAACUCCACUUCAAGUCCUUGAUCUUCCUCUUCAUUUACUCCUCAUUUUCUUUCUUGCAGAAGCUUAGACUACAUCAAAGAAAAGAAAAAAAAUGUGUUCUUCAAAGUCUAAACUGCAUUCUGCCACUCAAAUAAAUGGCCGUCCUGUGCUUCAACCAACUUCUAACCAAGUUCCAAGCUUGGAAAAGCGCAAUUCCAUUAAGAAAACUGGUUCACCAAAAUCUCCUAUUACUACUGAUAAUGUUAAUAGCAAGUCUUUCACAAAGUCUUUAUUGUCUCCUCCAGUUUCCCCAAAGCUAAAAUCACCAAGACCAGCAGCAGUAAAGAGAGGAAAUGAUCCCAAUGUGCUAAACACCAGUGCUGAGAAAAUCAUGACACCAAAAAAGUUGGCAAGUUUGGUUAAGAAGCCCAAAAAUGUUGGAGUUGCACCAUGUUAUGAUUCUUCAUUGAUAGUUGAGGCUCCAGGAAGCAUAGCAGCAGCGCGGAGAGAACAUGUUGCAAUUAUGCAAGAGCAAAGAAAGCUGAGGAUUGCUCAUUAUGGAAGAACAAAGUCGGCCAAGUUUGAAGGAAAGGUACCUGGGCUCGACUCUUUUGCCAAUGGUGACAAUAAUGAUCGAGAGGAAAAGAGAUGCAGUUUUAUCACUCCUAAUUCAGGUAUUUUUAACUAUAACACUGUUGUUUAACAUCUGUAGGACCAAAUUUAGAUUUUAAAAUGUGCCAACGUCUACACUUGAGGAGAAUGACUUAGUUUCUAUAUUUGCAUUUAAGUUAGAGAAUGGAAUAUGAAAAAUUUACUUUUUGUUUGUGCAGAUCCUAUAUAUGUGGCUUAUCAUGAUGAAGAAUGGGGAGUCCCUGUUCAUGAUGACAAGUAAGAAUUUUCUCUCUACUUUUCUGUAAUACUUCAAUUAAUAUCUUAAGCUCUUUAGAUGAAACUGGUAGCUAAUAUAAAAUAUUAAUCAAUAAAUAAUUUGAUAAUUUUUCCCUUAAUGCUAAUGAAUUAUUUUGUUUGGUUUUGUGUUAUGCAGGUUGUUGUUUGAAUUGCUAGUUUUGACUGCUGCACAAGUUGGAUCCGAUUGGACUUCUGUCUUGAAGAAACGCCAAGCAUUCAGGUGGGUGUGAUUAGAGAGAAUUAAAAAAAAAAAGUAAAUUAAUUAAUUAAUCUCAUACCAUUUUUAAGCCACUUCACUCUUUCAAAAAAAAAAAAAGUGAUUAAAUUUAGAAUCUGUUUUUGCAGAGAAGCAUUCUCAGGGUUUGAUGCAGAAGUUGUUGCCAAAUUCACUGAGAAAAAGAUGACAUCAUUAAGUGCUAACUAUGCCAUAGAUUUAAGCCAAGUUCGAGGCAUUGUUGAUAACUCCAUUCGAAUUCUUGAGGUAAUAAAUGAUAUUCAAUUGGAAAAAUUUCUUGAGUGUACUAUAAAUUUGAGUUUUGAACUUCGCUCAUAUUGGAUAGGAAGGGAUUUUAUUUUUCAUUAAAAUAAUACCAAAAAAAAAAAUUACUAGGCAUUUGCCCUAUCUUAAAGUUGUUGAUGUUACUUAGAUGUCUUGAUAAUAGUCCUGCUUAAAGUUGUUGAUAUUACUUAGGUGCAUUGUUAAUAGUCCUGCUUGUUAAUAAUUUCAAUUAAUUUUACAGGUAAAGAAGCAAUUCGGAUCAUUUGACAAGUACUUGUGGGGAUUUGUGAAUCACAAGCCAAUCAACACCCAAUAUAGGUCAAGCCAAAAGAUCCCAGUGAAGACCUCAAAAUCGGAAGCGAUAAGCAAAGACAUGGUGAAAAAAGGGUUUAGAUUUGUUGGACCUACUGUUAUUCACUCAUUUAUGCAAGCAGCUGGUCUCACCAAUGACCAUUUGAUCACUUGCACAAGACACCUCCAAUGCACCGCAUUGGCCUCUCAUCAGCCAGCCGUAGCCCCAGCCCUGUAGGACAACAAUCCUGACAACUGAAGCUAGCUAAGUUAGCAUAUAUUCUCUAACUAUAGAUAUUGUCCUAUAAUAUAUGAUGUAGUUUUAAUGUGUGUAACAAGUAAGACUUUGUUGGGCGUUUUGAGGAAAAUGUAAUGUGACAUUAUCACUGUAUGUUUAAGGACGAUUAAGUUUUUUUGUUAGAUUUCUCAAAUUACAUGUAAUUUGAGAACUACAAGAAGAAUGGGUGUUGUGACUGGUGAGGGAAGGCAGAGGGGAGACAGAGAACAUGUGCAGGCGGGCAGGCAUUGGGAUUCAAUUGAUUUUUGUGAUCCCCACAUACAAGAAGUCUCCAUUAUUUGCUUCCUUUAAAAUGGGUGCUGGGGAUGAUAAUCAGUGCCAGAUUGAUGGGCCAUGGGAGUAGGACCCCUUUCUAAAUAUUAUAUUUAGGUAGGUUGAAUAUGAGGUGUAUAGAUAUUUAUUUCUGCUUUGAAAUUAUGGAAACUUUCUUCCUCAUCGGUACUGGUAUAUCACUUUCCUUGUAUCUGAAUCCUAACCUUUAGUGAGUAUAAAGUUUGUAUAUCAUGAACUAGUGUGAAUUGUGAGUGUUAAGUGUGAAAUGAAUUAUGGAUACUUGCUUCUUAAUUUCUUUCCUCCUAAUCUUGGCCACCCAAGUCAAGUAUAUCUCCAUACUCCAUGCACUCUUAAUUUCUUUGACAUUUCAAUUUAAAAGAUUGCAAGUCUGACAGGCAGCAGUGUACCAAAUAUUCAUUUCGAUAUUGUAAACAUUCACUAUUUAUAGCACAAUCUUUUUUUUCUUUCUUUUUCUUUUUUCUAGUGGGCUUUCGCAUGCUUUUGGGAAUAGAAGCAUUCUCAGGGUUUGAUGCAGAAGUUGUUGCCAAAUUCACUGAGAAAAAGAUGACAUCAUUAAGUGCUAACUAUGCCAUAGAUUUAAGCCAAGUUCGAGGCAUUGUUGAUAACUCCAUUCGAAUUCUUGAGGUAAUAAAUGAUAUUCAAUUGGAAAAAUUUCUUGAGUGUACUAUAAAUUUGAGUUUUGAACUUCGCUCAUAUUGGAUAGGAAGGGAUUUUAUUUUUCAUUAAAAUAAUACCAAAAAAAAAAAUUACUAGGCAUUUGCCCUAUCUUAAAGUUGUUGAUGUUACUUAGAUGUCUUGAUAAUAGUCCUGCUUAAAGUUGUUGAUAUUACUUAGGUGCAUUGUUAAUAGUCCUGCUUGUUAAUAAUUUCAAUUAAUUUUACAGGUAAAGAAGCAAUUCGGAUCAUUUGACAAGUACUUGUGGGGAUUUGUGAAUCACAAGCCAAUCAACACCCAAUAUAGGUCAAGCCAAAAGAUCCCAGUGAAGACCUCAAAAUCGGAAGCGAUAAGCAAAGACAUGGUGAAAAAAGGGUUUAGAUUUGUUGGACCUACUGUUAUUCACUCAUUUAUGCAAGCAGCUGGUCUCACCAAUGACCAUUUGAUCACUUGCACAAGACACCUCCAAUGCACCGCAUUGGCCUCUCAUCAGCCAGCCGUAGCCCCAGCCCUGUAGGACAACAAUCCUGACAACUGAAGCUAGCUAAGUUAGCAUAUAUUCUCUAACUAUAGAUAUUGUCCUAUAAUAUAUGAUGUAGUUUUAAUGUGUGUAACAAGUAAGACUUUGUUGGGCGUUUUGAGGAAAAUGUAAUGUGACAUUAUCACUGUAUGUUUAAGGACGAUUAAGUUUUUUUGUUAGAUUUCUCAAAUUACAUGUAAUUUGAGAACUACAAGAAGAAUGGGUGUUGUGACUGGUGAGGGAAGGCAGAGGGGAGACAGAGAACAUGUGCAGGCGGGCAGGCAUUGGGAUUCAAUUGAUUUUUGUGAUCCCCACAUACAAGAAGUCUCCAUUAUUUGCUUCCUUUAAAAUGGGUGCUGGGGAUGAUAAUCAGUGCCAGAUUGAUGGGCCAUGGGAGUAGGACCCCUUUCUAAAUAUUAUAUUUAGGUAGGUUGAAUAUGAGGUGUAUAGAUAUUUAUUUCUGCUUUGAAAUUAUGGAAACUUUCUUCCUCAUCGGUACUGGUAUAUCACUUUCCUUGUAUCUGAAUCCUAACCUUUAGUGAGUAUAAAGUUUGUAUAUCAUGAACUAGUGUGAAUUGUGAGUGUUAAGUGUGAAAUGAAUUAUGGAUACUUGCUUCUUAAUUUCUUUCCUCCUAAUCUUGGCCACCCAAGUCAAGUAUAUCUCCAUACUCCAUGCACUCUUAAUUUCUUUGACAUUUCAAUUUAAAAGAUUGCAAGUCUGACAGGCAGCAGUGUACCAAAUAUUCAUUUCGAUAUUGUAAACAUUCACUAUUUAUAGCACAAUCUUUUUUUUCUUUCUUUUUCUUUUUUCUAGUGGGCUUUCGCAUGCUUUUGGGAAUGAAGCAUUAGAAAAAGAUGUAUGAAUGAUGACUGUCACAUUACAUUAAAAUUACUGUAAAGCGCAAUUGAAUAGGGGAAUCCAAAGCACUGUUAGCUUUGUGUUGUGUUGACAUUCCCCCAAAUAUGCCUUUGCUACAGGGUUCUUUUUCAAUUAUUCUUCUGCAGAAGCUCCUUUAUAUUUUUUGCAGUCAUUCUGUGCCAAAAGAAAGCAAAUUCUAACAACCAUUGCUGCUUCAGAAUUAACCAUUCAAAUUACUGGAUGCAGCAAAUGAAUCGUUAUAAAUCCUUUUGCUGUAUUUUCACAUUCUUUCUCGGUUAGGCCCGAUCUGGGAAAAUGCAAGGCUGCAAUUAACGGGCCAAAAACUCAUGGGCUUGGUCCCACUCAGUUUUUCAUACAAGCCCAUGAAAGUAAGAUAGUGAUAAGGGUGGGCAAAUCCGAGUUCAAUCAACUUAAUCGGGUUUCUGGUUUAUUAGGUUUAGAAGAAAAAAAUUAUUCGAACUCAAUCCGAACUUGUAAUUAUAUUUGGAUCAGAUCGAAUCAAAAAUUUGAUAGGCUUUUGUUUAUGUGUAUGUAUAAAUUCUAUUGGUAAAACGCAUGCACAGGGUAAGUAAAGCAAAUUAUUUGAUUUGUAAUGCUUUUUAAAUUGAAAAUAACAGUCAACACAUUGCAAAAAAAACAAAAAAAGGUUAUAUUAUCACAUUACAAUCACACAUCACACGGUUUAAGCAAUACAAUUACAAAUAAUGCAAUGAAAAAUUGAAAUUAAUUAUUUAAUAUGACAUAAAUAAACCAUAAAAAAUAUUGUUGGAUUUGGAUCUACGAAGGUGGUUGUCGAGGUGAAGCAAGCUGCAGCAGUAGUUGCAAUGGCUGGUGGAGCAAGAUGCAACAGCUGACGAGGUGGAGCAGACUGGCCGCAUCAGCAUAUCACAAUGACUUGGCUUUACAUUGGAGCAACAGCUCGUGUCGGUGCAUCACGGUCUGUAUGUGUCUGUGGUUUCGUCGGUGACUUGGUGGCUCAAUGCUGUCAGCUGUGUGUGUGCCGCCAUGUCCCAUGUUGUGUGAGCUCUGAGCUCUGUGUCUAUGGUGCGAGGCUCUAAGCUCUGUGCUUGUGGUCAUGAGCUAGCUAAUCGAUUUAGAAUUUUAGGUUUUAGUUUCUGAAUUCAUUUUAAAAAAAAUUAUGUCAGUAUCCAACCUGAUCAGAUUUCAGAUUGGAUCGAGUUUAACCCGAUCGAAUUGUGAUCCAAUUAAAUUGGAUAGAAUCUCACACGAUUAAGUUCGAAUCUUUAUCUACAUUUAAUCUGAAUAUGUAUUUUUCGGGGUCGAAUUGAGUUUGGUUAAAUUCCCACCUCUGGUGAUGAAAUUAUAAUCCAAAAUUUCGGAAUUUUUUUUUUCUGUUUUAUAGUUCUGAAAGUAAACUAGAAAAUUUUUGUUAUUUUUUUUUAUAAAUAAGCUUGAACAUCAAACUUUAUUUUUGAAAUGUUUACACAAAUUAUAAUCAACUUCAAAAGUUUACAUUUUUCAAUAGGAGCUCAUAUUUAAACAUAGUUUAUCUUAUAUCCUCUCCAUGAAUAUUUAAAUAUAUAAUAAGUAAAACUUAGGACCAAAUAAAUUAAUUGAAAUUUUUUGACUUAGCAAGUGAUAUAAAUAUAAAGUAUGUACUAUAUUAGUAAUUAGUUAAAGGAACAUGUUCAAUCUAAUGUAUAAAUAUUGAUAAAAGAGACAAUAUUUAGUUUCAAAAUAAUAGUACAUGUAUCUUUAUAGUGUUAUAUAGAAUCAUCUUAAAAGUCUAAACAUUUAUAUUAUAUUCAGAGUAUUUCUCUCAAUAUAAGUUUCAUGAAUACAAUAUAUUAUAUAAAUUAUUGUUCCAAAUAACUUUAAAAAAUAUAGAUAUUUUGUUCCAUCUUAAACUUUUAAUGCAGUAUAAUAUAUAUUUUUUGGAAUAUACAUAUAAUUAUUAUUAUGUGGAUGUAAUUUCCUUAAAUGAGAUAUAAAAAAAUGAACAAUUUAUUAUUUUUUUAUAACUUGUCUAAUUAAUUUUUGUAUGACUAAACAGAAAUUAAUCCUCUAGAAAAGUUUUACUAUAGUAGAUAAUACCACCAAUUGAAAGUUGGCUCACCUUUCUAGCGCUAUUUAAAAAAAAAAAGGAAAAAAAAAAAACGAAUCCUAGCUAGCUAGUAUCUUUAUAUCUCAUCACAGUAACAAACAAUAGAGCACCAAGUAGUACCCACAUCGUUCGUAAGGUUCCCCCUCCGUAUUGUCGGUGACAACCUCGUUGUUAUUUCGCCAGAUAGUUUACACCAAUCUUUUUCCCUCCGUAUUGUCGGUGACAACCCCGUUGUUAUCUCACCAGAUACUUAUGUAUCAAUUAAUUAAUAUCCAUAAGCAUCGACUUCUAUUCUCAAAAUUAAUGAAUAACGCUUUAUGGGGGAAGUCCAGAAUCAAAUUAUUAUUACUCCAAGUGCUGAAUUCGUGGAAACUUAAUUUUACAUAAAUUAUAAAACAUUUAAUUUAUUAAAUAGGUCCAUAAAACUUGAGACUAUUUGCACUUUAAAAUUACUCUUACUCUUAUUUCAAUAAAGAGUUACGUUAUUUGAACCCACAAAUUUACUUCUUAUUAAUUAAUAGUUUUUGAUAAAAUUACUUAAUCAACCAUUUCUUCUCUUUCUCUUCUCAAUUUUAUAAAUUUUCAUUAAUUCAUUUAGAUAUAUUAUUUUAACUGCAAAUAAUUGAUAUCACUAAAUAAUAGAAAUAAAACUCACCAUUUAAAAAUAAAUAUCAACAAAUUUUUAUCAGUCAUGAAAGUUAGUGAAUACAAAAAUUAAUUUUUAUCAAACACAAAAGAUAAUGAAAAUUAAGGGAAAAAUAUUGUUAUAUAUAGAAAGCAUAAAAUAGAAAUCAUGAUAUACCAAGGACUACAAAAAUGAAUUCAAAAGAGAGUGAAAUUGAGUGUUUUGUUUGCAUAAUAUGUGAGUAGAAAGAAGAUGCACAAUUGUAAGGUAGAGAGAGAAAGAGAUUAGUGAAGGGUAAUUUUGAGAUUUUAAUUUUUGAUAAUAAAUUUAUUUUUUUAAAUGGGUGUGGAAAAGAAUUUGGUGGAUUCAAAUAACCUCACUAUUUAAUAAAUUAAUUUAUUAGAAAAAAUACCCAUAUGUAAAUUACUAAUAAGGAUUUUCCAAUCUCUUAAAAAAUAUUUAGUUUAAAAAAUAGCAAAUCAAUACUUUUAACAUUUUUUGAACAUAUUUUUAGUUCUCUAGCCAUAAAUCUUAAAAAUUCAAUUUCCAAUCUCUUAAAAAAAAAUUUAGUUUAAAAAAUAGCAAAUCAAUACUUUUAAUAUUUUUUGAACAUAUUUUUACCGUUUGAUUUUUUUAAAAGUAUUUUCAUAGUGUUCUCCUCCUUCUACUUCCCUUUUCGAGACUUCUUCUUUUUCUUCAUCUACUUCUUCUUCUUCUUUUUGGCCAAAUGGCCAAUUUAUUUUCUAAUUUUUAGGCUAAAAACUUGGGGUGUAUAAAUCAAUAUUGAAAAAAAUUAGGGUGUAUAAAUUACUAUCGAACAUAUUCUUUAAUAAACAAAAGCUAAUAACUGAAACUUGUGUUAAAAAAUUUGUUUAGAAUAUAAUUUGAUUCUAUUGUAUAUACUAAAUUUUUAUUAAGUCGUUUUGGAGGUGCAAAAUAGUUUGAUUGGUGUUUUAGUAAAUUAAUUUUUUGGAGGUGCAAAAUAGUUUAAUUGGUGUUUUAAUAAGUUAAUUUAACUGGCUUAAGUAAGCCUUUUUUGGUAUUUUAAAGAGUUUAGAAAGUAAAACUUAAUUUUUUAAAUUUAGCACAUAAGUGUAUAUAAUAUCAUAGUAUUCAGAAUAAAUUUUAGAGUGUAAAUAUCCUCACUCGUUCAUGAAAUUGGAACCCUUGCUUAAAUGAUCAUAUUUUUUUUCUUUCUUCUAGUGAAAGCUCAUAUUUUUAGAAAUUAAAAAAGGAGUAAUAAUAUACAUUCUAAAUUUUUAUCUCAAAUUUUAUUUAAAAUAUUUAUUGAAUGAUUAAUAAUUUUGUAUAAAAUUAAAGUGAAUUAAUUGUAUUAUUUUAUUACUUAAUAGAGUUGCCGCUUAAUUAAUACGGUAUAAAACCAAUAACGUUUUUGGUAUAACAUAUAAAUUGAUUAUGACCGUUGGAUUAGCACUGAGGAUUGAUAAUCGUACGACAUCACAACUAAUAAAGGUAGAAUGAUUACGAGUAUCAUAACUGGGCACAUGCGAAUCGUGAUGAAUGGGGACCCAAUCCGUAAAUAUUUGUUUCGGAACGAUGGAAACAGCCUACCAAAGCUUGCCGCCAAACACGGGGUCUUUUUCGGUGUCUCCCUCACAUCACGCGGCGUAAUUAUUAUUUUUUUCUAAAUACUAUUAUUAUUAUGGCUUUGAUAAUGUCACUGUCACCUCCCACACUUUUACAUUAUUUAUUUAUUUUUUCAAUAACAUCUCUCCUAUUUUAUAUGCAGAUUAGUUAUUUUGUCGCAAAACACUCUAAUUAACACAACUUGUGUUAUCUGCAGAAAUAAUUAGAUUGUCUUAAGCUAUAAUUAAAAAAAGAGAGAGAGAGUAAAAAAUGGCCGAAAUUAAGUCUCUUCAACUAUGGCUGUAAUUGCCACUUGGGCUUGUAGUUCAGUGGUGAACUAUUGCUCUUAAAAUCAAGUAUGAUUAUGAGUGUAAUUGUUCGAGUUCUUAUGAACUCAACCUUCCUCAAUUAAAACAUAAUUGUGUAGAAAUAAUUUGUAAUGUCUUUCUUUCUUAUUAAAUACGAGUAGAGUAGAGAUAUUCUUUUUCUGUAAUAAGGGAUAACUGACUGAACAUGUACUUCAUAUAAUAAAAAUGUAAUAAUAUAAGAUUUCGUGAGUGGAGUAGAGACAUUCCUUCUCCGUGAGAAAUAUUUGACUGAAUAUAUAUUUUAUAAAAUAAAAAAUUAUAAAUAUUAAUAUAAUAAUUAAUUAUUAUAAUAAUUAUAAAUAUUUAUGUAAUAGAAUAACUUGAUGCUUAAUCAGUUAAAAAAAAAAACUAUGGCUGUAGUUUUAAGUCCGAAUCCCCCCAGUAUUCAAAGAAAACUUUAUCUUCAGGAGCUGUCCUCCUCGUGAUUUAUGGGGAAAUUUUAAUGGACGGAGAGUAUCUAACCACGUGGCAAAUUCAGAUACAAUCAAAAGAAUGGUGUCUAAUGGGCAAAGAGCCAGCUGGCCACUCAGUCCAGCUCGUCGUCAACCCUCUUCUAUUAUUAUUAUUAUUAUAUUAGUAUUUAUGUGUGUGUUUUCUUUUUUCAAAUCUCUCGCUUCUUGAUUUAAUAAUCAUUGAGAAAAUCUUGUCUUUUGUUUUUUUUUUUUCCUCCCAACCUCACCAUUUAUUCUAAGUUUUUUCAAUCUAAAUGAAGAAAUUCUAAUUUUUUUUUUUAUGGGAUAAACACUGAUUAAACUCUGUAAGAUUGUUUAGAUAGAUUAACCAGUUAUGGUAAGCUUAAAUAAUUGCAACAAAUUAGACUGAUUUUGGUAUUUUUUACUUUUUAAGUAGAAUUGAGCAACAACAACAACAACAACAACGUUGUUCUAACCGCCGACAUUAUAAAUUAGAAAAAAAAUAAACAAAUAAAAGUUUUUGAAGAAGAAAAAAAGGAAUGUACUAAAACACGUGAGAUCAAAACUCAGCUUUUUUGGAAACCUCCUUCAUAGAAGGCUGCAAAUAUGGUCAGUUUAUAAUGGACACCGCCAAAUUAGAAAGUCAAUCCAAGCAUCCUGUAGCCACACCAAAACAACUUUCGUAUAUAAUGCAAUUUGUACUGCCCUUAGUUUUGCUGGCAGUUAGUUCCAAUAAAAAUCAAUUUCUUCUCAUGUUGCUCUAUGAUUCUAGCCGACACGAUAAACUAAUAUCAAAUAGAUAAAAGUUAAAAAAAAAAAGAAGAAAAGAAAAGAAAAGCCCUAAUGCAUGUGAGAUCAAAGACUCAGCUUUUGGAAGCUUCAUUCACGAGGGCUGGGAGCGAAUUCAGUCCAUUUUAUAGUAAGCUAUCAAAUUAUAAAGUCAUCAAUUUAUGCCUACACCAAAUAAGUUUGAUUCGCACACUUGAUUGGGCUUUAUUGAUGAUGCAUGCAACACUUCAUCAAAAUAUAAUGUUGAGAUAAAAGUAAGAGAAUCGAGAUGACUGGUUAUUAAUUUUUUAUUAUUAUCCUAGUUACUUGAUUUAAUUGGUAAACUAAAAAUAAAAAUUAGAGUGAAGAGCACUCAUUUUGAAAAAUAAAAAAUAAUAAAAAAAAUUAAAAGGAGGAAAAACAUGUUUAUGUGAAAACGGUCAACUGGCCUUGAUUCCUUUUGAAAGUCAUAUGAGGCUGAGUCCUGCACGCGACGUAUCACAGGGAAGGGUUAAUCAUAUCUCACACAGAAAUAAUGAUACUAAAAUUCAUAAUUAUAAUUAUUAAAAAUCAUUUUAAUUCCCCGCUUCUCGUGGAAAAAUCGAAGGGGUCAAAAACCAAAACGCCAAGGCCCAAGCUCUCUUUUAUUUAUUAUUUUUAUUUUUUAUUUUUGUUACAAUCAACACAACACCGAAUUCCAUGAAUGUCUGGAAAGAUCUCUCCUUAGAACACGUAUAACCUUGAGAAGCCCACGUGUCGUUUUUGAAACGUGUCAAAUUCGUAUUGCAUGUGGCUUCUUUUAUUUAAUUUUUUAAUUUAUUUUAACAUAACGAAAUUAUCGUCCCCACCGAUACUGUCCUUUUAUAGGCUAGACAGCCCAUAUAGACAAGGACAGGAGUCUUGACAGACGGGCCAACACCGUUGCUCAGAAUCUUCCACGUGUCAGCGCUCGAAAAUUAUUUUUGCACUUUUUGCACCGAUGCCCUUACUGUUUAUGUAUAAUUCAAUUUCUAACACUUCAUAUUUCAUAUUCUUAUUUAGGACAAACUUUUGAAUUUUUAACUUUUGAUGGGCAGAUUUUCAAUUAAUACAAAGCUCUUGUAGUUAACUGAAAAUGUUAUACCAUCUCGCUUCUUUAACAAGAUUCUUCCUUUAAAUUUGUUUAGCUAGCACUCAAUUAUAAACCAAUAAAAAUAUGACACAUUUUUUUUAAUAAUAAUUGUUUUAGUUGCAAAAAAUAUAACUCUACAUUAAUUGCCUUUAACAUUUAUGAUUUUCAGAGAGUUUAUAAUUGUGUUAAUCAUUUAUUACCCAGAAACAGGUUAGUUGUUCCUUGCCAUGAAUGAAUUGUAAGGGCAUUUUAACGUUUGCAAGGCUAAAGUCAUUCUUGGAAAGAGUAAAAAGAAAAAAAAAAUCUAUCAGAUAACAAGAUGAAAGGGUAGAAGUAAUAAAAGACAUCCCUUAAAGAUAAUUAUAACAUUUACAGAAAAAUAUAAGGACCCCAUAGCAAGGAUCAAAGAAGUCCAAGAUACUCCCAUCCUUACUUGUCCAUUGUGUCAGGACCUUGGGCCCCACAUUCUUUUCUAUUUUUUGGAAUUUUGAGCCCCACAUUUUGACACGGCAAUAAAGUGGUUAAUAUUAAUUACUCAGUUAAUUACUAUUUACUGUUUUUAAUUUAUCAUUUAACAACUUCAAAUUAAAGUCCAUUUUAAUUUAUUAAAAUAUUCCCCUCAACCGAGUAAUAUAUAGUAUAAUCUCCAUUAUAUAACAAUUUUUGACAAUCCUAAGCUAAUGUGCUAAAUUAGUAAGACAAUAUUUUUUUCUCUAAAAACUCUUAUAUAAUUCUAUGAUCCCAUUCAUAUAAUAAAUUAAUAAUUAGUUAAAUUAAAAAAAUUAAUUAUGAUAUUUUAUUAAAUAAAAUAUGAUUAAAUUGUUACUUUUUUAAAAAAUUUAAAUAUUGUAAGAUUUCGUUUCUAAUUUUUCUAACUGUAUUUACAAGUGUUGGAGUUGAAUUCUCCAAUUGCAAUAAAAAGUACGAAGUGUUGUUGAUGCUUUAAGUGCAUUUUUAUAUAUAACAUGCUCUAAAGCUAUUAUGGGAUCCUCAGCUUUGUCAUUAGCGAGAUUUUCAAUGAUGUUAGCAAUGAUUUCUUCUAAAUUUGAAACCUUGUAACCUGUAUUUCAUUUGAUUGAAUUGAUAACUCAUACAAAUGAAUUUUUAAUAGAUUAAUUUAUAUUCAAUUAGUUAGAUACGUAAAAUACAAAAAAAAAUUAUUGAACUAAUUCGUGUUCAAUUGAUUAGAAUUGUAAAAUACAAUAAAUUUUUUGUUGAUUAAAUUACACUCCAUAAAUUAAUAAAUUAUUAAUUGAUCGAUUAACUAAUACAUCUUUUUAUUAAUAGAUUUUGUACGAUCUCAAUAUUAUUAAUAUAUAUAAUUUAUACUAUAAUCAAAGUCAUCAAAUUGCCCCUUCUUGUUUAGUUACAAGCCAUGUGAUCAGUUUAAUUAACCUUUAACACCAACAAAAGAUUUGCAUCUCUUAUAACAAAAAAAGAAAGUAAAAAAAAAAAUAAAUAGACAAAAGUAUAGACAUUAAAUUUAGUUUGAAUAAAAAUCGGGGACUUAUGUGAUAAAAGAAUUCGUAGUCAGGCUGUUUAUAUACAGGUGAACGUUAAAACAACAAUAAUGUUAAUGGAAAUAACAAACAAGCCUGCCGGAGGAUUAGAAAUAGGAAAAUCAGAGCUAUAAAAAGAGAGUUAAAGAAGAGACGCAGAGAGAGAAGGAAGGGGAGAGAGAGAGAGAGAAUUAUUGAUUGUUAUUCACAUUCAUUUAUUCAAUCCUUCUUUUUUCUUCUUUUUCUCCACCUCCUUGAAAAAAAAAAACAAUCUCUUCCAUUUCUUCUUCUUCUUCAUCUUCAAUUCCUCAUACAUAAAACGCAAAGCUUGAUAAUGGCGACGAAUAAAGAGAGAGAAAAUCAGAAAGACAGGGGAGGGGAGAAGAAGAUGCUUGUUGGGGUGAUAUGGAACUGUGCAGCUGAACUAAAACUCAUAUUAGUUGCUCUUUUGAUUCUCUGUAGCGUCGCCACUCUCCUUCAGUUUUUGCCUUCUCGUUUCACAAUCUCCACUUCUGAUCUUCGUCUUUGCAUUUCCAAAAUUCCCUCCCAAACGGACCCUACCGCCGACACCAACACCAACACCAACACCAACAUUCCUUCUCAACGUUUACAGAUUCAGCAGCAGGAGCAGCAGCAGCAGCAGGCGCCGCCGCCGCAACAACAGCCACCACCGACACCUCCGCCGCCACCGGCCCUGGAACAUGACCAGAUCCUCAACAACAGCGUCCUCAAGCGGGCUUUCAAUCCCUACGGCGCUGCGGCUUAUAACUUUAUCACAAUGGGGAGUUACAGGGGAGGGUUUGGUACGUUUGCCAUCGUUGGCCUUUCAUCCAAGCCUCUUCAUGUUUAUGGCAAGCCGGCUUACCAAUGCGAAUGGGUUCCUCAGAAUGACACCAAGAAAUCAACUUUCGCUAAAUACACAUACAAAAUGCUCCCCGAUUGGGGCUACGGCCGCGUUUACACUGUUGUUAUUGUGAAUUGCACGUUUGCCGAGCCUGUUAACGAUGAUAAUUCUGGAGGAACUUUGUAUUUACAUGCAUCUACGGCUGGUGGUGGGGAUGCGAAUUUUAAUUUAACUGAUGUGGUGUUUGCUUUGGAAGAGAAGCCUGGGAGUGUUGAUUUUAGUGUGUAUAGGACUUAUGAGCCUAAGUACGAUUAUUUCUACUGUGGGUCGCCAUUAUAUGGAGGCUUGAGUCCGCAGCGUAUUCGGGAAUGGAUUGCUUAUCAUGUGAGGCUUUUUGGGGAAAAAUCGCAUUUUGUGAUUUAUGACGCGGGCGGGGUUCAUGAGGAAGUGUUUCAAGUGUUGAAGCCAUGGAUGGAUUUGGGUUAUGUGACAUUGCAUGAUAUUAAGGAGCAAGAACGAUAUGAUGGGUAUUAUCACAAUCAGUUCUUGGUUGUGAAUGAUUGUUUGCAUAGAUACAAGUUUAUGGCUAAGUGGAUGUUCUUCUUCGAUGUUGAUGAGUAUAUUUUUGUGCCACCAAAGAAUACCAUCAAGUCUGUGCUUGAUUCUCUCAUGGGUUAUAAUCAGUUCACUAUUGAACAGAUGCAUAUGAACAGUCAGCUUUGUUUUGCUGGUGAUUCAGGAAAAGCUCACAGGUAAUUUCCCUUAAUUAUUAUUAAUUUUUCUAGGAUUAUAUAUUAAUUCAAAAUUGCUAGUUUCUUAGAAUUUAAUAUGAAUCAUUUCAUAUCUGUUGAGAUUGAGAAACAUUGAUCUUUGAUGACUAGGAACAAAAUUUGGGUUUUCUUUUAAUUAAGAAAAACUUCUAGGGGUCGAAGGAAAAGGAAUGCAAAAAUUUAGGGGGAAAUGUUUGUUGCGUGUCUUUAGAUUCUAAAAUGCCCUGUCGUUUUAAUAAUUGCCAGAUUUGGCAUUUGAAUUGAUCAAACUGAGUGUAGGAAUAGUAAAAUCAGGACACAGUUCUUGGUAGCUAUUGUUUGAUCCCAAAGUUGGUUGAAUUUUUCCUGGCAUGUGAAAAAUGCAAAAAAAAAAAAAAUCCACCAUCAGCAAGUUUUAACUUCAUUAAAUCCACCAUCAGCAAGUUUUAACUUCAUUAACCGAUGUAAAUGUGAAUUCUCAAUAUCAAUAAUGCAUGUGUGAUGAGGGUAUAUUUGGUAUUCUAUCAAAGCAUGAGCUGUAGGUUAAGAUUUAGUAAUUGUGGGCAUACGAACACCGUGUGGUACUUGUCCAUUUGUUUGAUUUGUUUUUCUGAACAUUUUAAGUUUGUGGUGGUUGAGUGAUUGGAACAUAUUUGAACUGGUGUUGAACAUAUUUAUAUGAGAGAUCAAGUGGUGUGUGGUUGUUUGGAGUUUUUCUUCUUGUAUGUUGGUGUUUGAUUCUUCCUUCUCUUCAUUGUAUUAGAACAGGUGGAAGUGAGGUGGGUCUGAACUUUGUUCUAAUGUGACUGACCUAUGAUUGGGACCUUAUUAAUUAGUUUAAUAGUAUUAUGCUUCUUUUUUAAAAAAAAAGGUCUCUCAAACCUUUAAUCACCAAUGCUCUCUUCUUCCGAAAGACAUGUAGAAUGACACAUCAAUAAAAAAAUGGAUUAAUUGCAUUCAUGAAAUGGACUUCAAAAGAUGAAAUAUGCAAUGGGUGCUGAUGUUUAUAAAAUCUAGAAACAGACAUAAUGAUAUGGACAUAGAUUAAUGAUAUCUUGAGAUGUGGGUUUUGUAAACAGUACGCUACUCAGUGUAAUAUCCAUUUUUGGAAUCAUGAUUAUGGCCCCUAUCCAAUGAGCUUCAAUCUUGCUAGAUUUUGAUUUCCUUUUCGAAGAAGUGAGUUGAGUGCUUAGUAGAUUAUGUUGUUGAAUCAGGAAAUAACUAUUAGAAUCUAUUCGUUUUUAAAACACAUUCUGCAACAUUUUUAGUAUGGUUGUUGAUGCAUUUUGUUCAUGUUCCUCUUAUUUAAAUACAGGAAAUGGGGAUUUGAGAAGCUUGUAUACAAGGAUGUAAAAAGAGGUAUAAGGAGGGAUCGUAAAUAUGCUGUUCAACCGCGCAAUGUGUAUGCCGCAGGGGUGCACAUGUCGCAAAACCUAUAUGGUCAGAUAACCCACAAGACAGAGGGCAAGAUCAAAUACUACCAUUACCACGGCACGAUCGCACAACGGACUGAACCCUGCACAACCUUCAUCAACUGGACGAGAUACAACUUUGAGAACACACCUUAUGUGUUGGACAUCACAAUGAGGGCCGUAGCAGGAGCUGUGAAGAAAUUCGAGCUCGCAAAGAUUGGCGAUAGAUUAAAACACACUCGCCAAUGACCUUUGUAUUUAAGUUAAACCGGGUUUUUUGAACAAUCUGAGUUUCUUUUCUUUUCUUUUCUUUUCUUUUUUCCUUCAUUAUCUAAAUAUUUCAGGGAGAGAGAGCACGGAACUAGAACACAAACGUAUUGAAAUUUCAUUUGGGGGGUGUGCUCUGUAAGUCCUCUUUUGUAUGAUAGUUUUACAAUUUUUUUAAGGGAGAAAAAAAAAAAAAAAAAAAAANNNNNNNNNNNNNNNNNNNNNNNNNNNNNNNNNNNNNNNNNNNNNNNNNNNNNNNNNNNNNNNNNNNNNNNNNNNNNNNNNNNNNNNNNNNNNNNNNNNNNNNNNNNNNNNNNNNNNAUUUUUUUAAGGGAAAAAAAAAAAAAAAAAAAAAAGAGUACAGAGAGAGUGAGGUACAGGUGGUAUAUGUGGACUGUAUGUGCAGGAUUUUUAGAGAGUUACGUUCAUUUUUUUUCUUUAACAUUUUAAUAUUCAAUUUUAAUAUAUUUGAUUCUUGAUUCUUUCAUUAAUUAUCAAUGGACUUGGGGUUUUUUUUGUUGUCGGUGAGAAACGGGGCCACCACCUCUUUCCACCAGCGAGAGCCAGCCAAAGUGCCUUGGGUUGGCUUCGCUGCCACACUUUUUUUUUUGUUUUCUUUGUUUUCCUCUCAUCAUGGACUUAUGCUUCGUUGAAGAGAGAGGUCGCUUUGUGUAAUAUGGAAUUGUAGUAAAGCAGAUGGAUGCCAUUAUUAUUUUAAGCAAAAGCCAAAAGCCGGAAAGCUGUUGUCCUUGGAGCUUUUUGACAAAGUUGUCAAAAAAGGGGCAUGUGAGUUAUGAUAAGGCUAGCACUAGCUAGAAUCCAAUAUCAAACGUCUAAUCAUUUAACUAAUUCACAGAAGGCAAAAAAAUAAGGGGAAGGAGUGAAAUUAUAAGAUUUGACGAGCGAGACAAUGAGGAUUAAACAAUUGGAAUACUUCUGGACGACUCUUCUCCCCUUAUGUUAUAUAAUACCUUCAUUUUCCAAAACAGUUCCUCUUUUUUUUUUCUUUUUUCUUUUUUCUUUUUUUUUUCCUUGUUACCUCGUAAUUUUGUCAGUAAAUGAGAAAUUGUAAAAAUUUGUAUGAAAAUGGGAGAGAUUGAAUGAUGGUCCAUGGAGGAGGGGUUUGGUGGGUGGUCCCGUUGCUUCACGUGUUUGUGAAGCCGUUAAUAAAGAACAAUCAUAAUGAAUGAUGAUGUGCUGAUCAAUUCAUCUAUAAGAAGCAGUAGCAUACACUGAUACACGUACAUAUACACUUUGAAUUUUGAUUGGACUAAAGUUGGUAGGCAAAGGAUAGUUCCAUCUGUGCAUCCUUCUUAUUAGUUAUUAGUCCCAUUACCCUCAGCCAAAGCCAACGGACGGUCCAAAAAGUGAUUUACAUUCAAUAAAUUCCCCAACUGUAUUGUUGUUAUUACCCUCAGCCAAAGCCAAUGCACGGUCCAAAAAGUGCUUUACAUUCAAUAAACUCCCAACUGUACUAUUGUUAUUCUCUGGCUCACUGCAUGUGUAUGCUUCACAAUUUCAUUCAUUUUCAUCUUCAUGGCUCAGAUUCUUUUUCAGGCAGUUUUUUUCUUUCUUUCUUUUUUUCUCUCAGCUUGCAAUUUUAAUGGCUGACAGUAGAUUGUCGUUGUACUUCCUCCGCUGGCUAGUGGGUGUGUCAUACAUGAACGUACUUUAUCAUUUGGAGUUUUGGAGUCAGAGUGGGGCACUAUGUUAAGACUGUAAAACUAGAGAGGUCACAGUCUAAAAGAGUCUAUGUUGCAGGGUCUAGUUUGAAAUAUAUGUAUAUACACCCUGUAUUGCAUCAUAUUAAAAUCAUUUAUGGGAGAGUUGAAGAUAAGGUUGUUUCGUACCCAGUGGCUUCCCGGCCCUAAAAAUCAAUGAGGCAGGUUAGAAAAAUAAAUAAAUGAGGAAUUAACCCUUUUAAGUUUUUAAGGGAAAAAAAAAAAAAAAGAACUCUAUUAUUAGGCUAAAUUUUUUUCAAAAUAAUGAAUGAACCAAUCAAUUUUAGUUGUUAUCUCAUUGUUUUCUAUUCUUCUCCUACUUUCAAGCAGUGACGUGAGCCACAAAUGGUCCAAAGCUGCAGCCAUAAAAGAAGGGAAUUUUUUCGACCAUUUCCAGCUGUUGAGUUGAAGCAGUGCUGUACCUGUUUGGCACCCAAAUUAAGAAAUAAGACAACCAAUCUUGUUUUUUGUUUCCUUCUCUACAAUUAUUCCCUAUUUUAAACACGAUUCCUUUUUUCUUUUUCUUUUUCUUUUUUCAUUUGUUUAUGCAUAUGUCAAAGCCUCAAUGUUUGUGCAUGUUUCCUAACACUUUAAAACAAAUCUUCUAAAGAAUCAUAGACCUUGAUCCAUACAUAAUGAUACAAAAUUUAUCAACCACAAAGUUGCAUUAAAUAAACUAAUUAUAAUUUAUUUAAUAUAAGAAUCUUAUUAAGUUACAUAAUUAUAUAACAUACAUCAAUCCAAUAAUUAUUAUCAGUAACAUAAAGUUAAUUUUUGUUAGUUAUACUUUUAUGUUACUGGUAACAACUGUUGAGUUAAUGUAUGUUACAUAAUUAUGUAACUUAAACAACCACCUUAAUACACUCUUAAAUUGAUUUAACUUACAUCAAUAUGUAACAAAACUCUUACCAAUAAAUUAAGGAAGUCCCUAAGUUACUUAGCAUUUAACAUAAAUUAAACAUCAUUGAGGUGCCUUCAUUUCUAUUUUUCUGUAGAAUCACAACAUUUUCAGUGCCUCUGAAUGACUCACGACAGUUUACGACAUCUUGAUAAAUUUUCUGAAAUUUAAACAAAUUCAGGACCCUCGUGUAAAAGCUGCUUUUCCCCUCAAUUAGUUAUCGUUAGUCUAAGCAUUCAAAAAAAAAACUUCACAACUCAGUAUUAUCUGGCAGUGCCCAAAAAUCUUUUUCAUUUUUAAAUUUGCAUAUUUUAAUUUUUAUAUAUUAUUUGUAGAAGACUGGAAAUGAUGGGGCUCUGAACACAUCACAUGAAGGCAUGUGGAUUUGGGAAUUUUAGAUGACAUUUCAUAUGAUAUAUGUGAUUUUUUGGGUUAGGCUUCAACGGAGGAAGGGAUUAUUGGAGAAACAGAAGAGAUUAUUUUCUAUAUUUUACUUGUUUAUGGGUCACCUUAAGUUUGGUUUUCGAGUUAUUUAUUAUGUGAGAUCUUUGGCCAUGUGACUUUAUCAUUGCAUUAUUAUUAUUUUUUUUCCUUUCUAAGGAGUUGGUCAUUGCAUUUAACUGAUCAUUAAUUAAAUUAGAUUUUUUUUGGGUUAAUUGGUUUUUAUUUAUUUACUUUUGAUUGAGAGGAUCUAUGGUUGAAAAAUGAGUAAUUUGUGUCAUUGUGUGGCUUGAAUUUAUGCGUGUGGUUAUGAAUAUUGUUAGGUUGGAUCGUAAGAAACACCAACCAUUAUACGAAUAUAAUUCCAUUUGAUAAUAAAUAUGUAAUGUUAUCUUAUUUUAUAUUCUCAAUUGAUGUGAUAGAUAAUGUGUUAUUAUUUCAUUAGUUGAGUGAUAAUUAACUAUUAAGACUUAUAAUUUAUAAUUUACUUAUAAUUUAUAAUUUAUAAUUCAAUUGAUUAAAUUUUAUAGAUGACGUCACUCAUUACAAAAUGAGUAAUGUUGGUCAUCUCAAUAUCUAAAUUUUAAUUUUAGUCCCCAAUCGAUGUGGUAUUAAUCAUUCAUUGAAUGAUGUUAAUAAGUAAUUUUACAAAUUCAUAAUUCAAUAAAUGAGUGGCACAUAUUACCACAAUUAAAAUGUUAAGACUCUCGCAUUACUAAUAUAAAAUUUGUAAGUCAUCAAAAUUAUCGCCAGUCCCUAUACGGCUCUGCCAUUGGUGCUAUUCAUCAAUUGUGGUUGUUUAUUUUCAGAGAACUAGUUUCCAAUCUCCACAGUCUUGACAUGCUCAAUGGUAUAAUUAUUUGUGGUGGUUAAGGAUCAUUUCCUUUUAAGUGUUCUUAUACAUAUUUAUCACGAAGGUAAAUGUGGGGGUCGAUGUUCUUGUGAAUAUUAAUUGGUUUGUCUCGUGACGGUUUCAUCUGGUGGGAUAGUCCCCUUUUUUGUAUUCGUAAGAGCUUUAUAGCGGUAACUAACUUAGACUGAAUGAGCAGUAUUAGUAUAUAUUAUAGCAACAAAUUAUAAUAAUUAUUUGUACAAACUAAUUAAGUAGCACAUACUUAUAAUGAAGAUGUUCUAUUAUCUUAGAAAUCGUGUGAUUAUACCUCCGAGAUUAAAAGUGCAUACCUAUACCGUAAGUCAAUAUGAAAAAUUAUAAAAGGAAAAUUAAUUAUAAAAUGAUCGCUAAUAAUUUAUAAUUAUGAACUUACAAAUUUGUUUAUUAUAGAUCAGCGACACAUUAGAACAUUACUGUAAAAAUAAAACUGAAAUUUCUAUUUUGUCUAUUAUUAACUCUCAUAUGAAAAAGAAAAAGAAAUAGAAUUAACACUCACUUAGUAAUGAUAUUCCAACAGGAGACCGCUGAAAUCGAGCUAAUACGGAGCCAAUGUAGUUUGGGCCAAGUUGGGGUCCUAAAACAUUUUUCCUCUGCUUUAUGCAUGUUUCCAAAUGAACACUGGCAAGUUUGAGACACACGUCAUUCAAAUUUUCUGCAAAGUGGGAACAGAUAUAAGUAAUUAGCAAUAUCCACGAUACUAGAAUCUCAAAAAAAAAAAAAAAAAGCAAUGUACCAUUAACAUCUUACAAUAAUAAUCUUCCUCUUAAUAAAAAAAACUGAAAAUUCACGAACCAAUGAUGACAUCCAAUGUCUUGUCUAAUCUAAUAUCUAUCAACAAAUGAAAAUAAUACCUAUAUACACUGUAUGGGUGUUGUGACAAAAAUAAUCAUGUCUGCUUGAACUGUAUGUAGAGGUUUGCUGAAUGUGAAACGAGUGUGAGCAGUGAUCUUACAAUUAGCAGUGUUCUUAUUCUGGUCUUCAAAUUUCCGUGUCCCUUAAAGAAGUUGCUGGUCUCUAUCUGCAGUUGAAAAUCUGCUGGCAUUUCAGUUUUAUUGGUGCAACUGCUAUUCUCUUCUUCUCUUGUGACACGAUUUAUUUCUAUUUCUUUUAAGGGUUUUGACAGCUCUUUUUAAUGACCUGCUUGGCUGCUUAUAUUAUUUGAGACUCAAUUUGUGACUUAGAUAUUAGGAUGCAAAGCAUAAAGGUUCAAUUCAACAGAAACAGUGCUUGAGCCGAGCCGAAAGGGCUUGUGGGAAAUUAAUUAAUGAGAUUAAUCAACAGUAUAUAGAUAAAAUCACAGCAUUAAUCCGGCUCCUGCGUUCAUCCUCCAAAGUUGCAGAGCAUUACUAAAUUUCUCAGUCUCUAAUCUAAAAGCGUCAGAACGAAUACUAGAGAUAAUGUCCUGUGUUUGCUGGGUAUAUACGGCCAUUUCUGCCUUUAGUUCAUCCAACUUCUGCGAAAGCAUGGACAUCUCCUCAUGGUGGUACCGAAUGGGGCUGCUUUGAUACAGUUCCGUAUCAACUCCAUAGCGAGCUCGCGCUACUGCCUUCAGAUGGUCAAAGACAAAGUCAAUUUUAAACCCCGUUAGUUGAGCAGCUUUUAAGUACCACCACCAGGUGAAAAGCAAUUUGUUGGUGAUGUCCUGAACCUGAGUGCUGCACAUGCUCUGCACGGUCGCACACAAAAAGGUGAGCAUAAGAGUCUUCUUGUUUUGGCUUAAAAGCAACCGUCACCCAUAUCCUCCUUUUUCUUAAGCAAGCCCUUAAGAACUCCGGCAAACGUUGGAAUGAUUUUGUAAUCUCCUAAGCUGAUAAGCUCGGACUGCGUGUCCUCCGGACUGAUUGGUUUCAGUAAUUUACCCGUGUCUAACGAAGAGAUAUCUUCCACUAGCAAUAGGAAAUCUUCAUCCGAAAGAAAAUCUUUCGAAUUGCUUACAUCUGCUGCAGCUUCAUGAUGCCUAGCCUCAGAAAUUUUGUUACGAAUCUUUCGGUUUUCCUCCUCGAAAGCAUUGAGCACGUCCAUAUAUGUAUUGUCUUUUUCACUGUCGGAGUCGCCCCCUAUUAUGUCUUUGAAGGUUAAGACUUUACCUAUUGUAUCACUAGUUUUGCUGUUGAUGGUUAUCAAAUGGACAUCUCCGGGCUUUUUCAGCAGAGCAAGUAUUACCUACGUAUACACCAAGCAAGUUCUUUAUGAGAUAAAUCAAGAUGAUAUUGUUAUAAGCUGGUUUGAAUAUGACAUCCAAUGCAACUAUUGAAGAUUAAUAUGAUUUUUCUAAAAAAUAAUCAGUAGGCUUAGUUACCUCAAUCACACACAUAAAAUCUGCUAUGUAAUCACAUUCUUCGCAGUAAUAAACGCGUUCUUGUUGGUCUCUUUCCUCCUCACAGACAUCACAAAUUUGCGUACCGUAAUUACCAUCAGCAUGUUUAUCCAUGAGAGUUAGCGAAUGUUGAUGGUGACUCAUGUGUUCAAUAGUUAGUGGCAGUGGAGAAAGCAUGAGAUGGAGAGUGAAGUUGCAUUUCAGACAAUCCUGAAAGGAUGCUUCGCUAAUGGCAAAUUUGUAUUUCCGGCAUUUGGCGGUGUGAUUUAACUUUUCAACGAAAGCAUAAAUAGGGUCACCACCUUCAGAUACGACUCGAGAUUGUAGUGUAGCGCAAUCAAAAUCUAAAACAAAGUCACAAGAAUCACAUUUGUAAAUGUGGCCAUGUAAAUAUUUCUGACAAGCAUCGCAUGUACGGCCUCUUUCACCAUCAUUUGUUGUGACAGUGAGAGGAUGUCUGUGAAGGACAUGUUGGAUCUGCCGUGGCAUCUGGGCGCAGGUUUUGUGAAGAUAAAUUCUGCAGGGAUCGCAGCCAUACGUUGGGUGAUUUUGAUCUUGCAUUAGUACCUUCCCACAUGCAUAGCACGGAACAUCAUCAUUUGUCCCAUUUUCAAGAGGAAGCAAGAAAUGGUUGUGGUCAAAAUGUACCAGUGCGUCAUUGAGUGGUACCUCAAUGACCGUACAACGCCAGUGUAUGUAGUAGCCGCAUUCAAUACAACAACAAAAGGGAUUCUGUGGUUCUAUUUCUUCCUUGCAGGCGUCACAGUAAAACAGAUCAAAUUUAUCUUUGACAAACGAAUCAGUAGGGAGAGUGAGAGUGAGAGUGAGAGAGUGGCCAUGAUGUAUAUGCUCAACGAUUGGUGGUGGUGAGGCUGGGCCACAGUGGACAUGAAAUUUAAAGUCACACUCAACACACCGGACAAAGAAUGCGCCUGGCUUAGUGUCAAAACUGCAUGCUUGGCAUGUGGUAGUCCCCGAUCCCGAUUUCAUUAGAACAAGAAGAUGCUCAUGACCUUGGUAUCUUAUUUUUGGCUUGACAGAUAUACAAUCAAGGUGCAAGUCAAAGUCACACUCAUCACAUAUUCACAUCGGUAGUGUUUGGCUGACAUAAUCAUUGAGUCACAUGCAUCACAAUAUAAUAAACCACGAAAUGUAUUUUGAAGUUUCAAACUAUGGGGCGCAUGGAAAGGGUGUAGGACUUGUUGCGGCAGUUCACUACAUGAAUUAUGGAUAUAGAACUUACACGGGAGGCAGCCAUAGCUCGGACCGAGAAUGUUGUUUCUGCAUAUGCGACACCAUUCCUCGUCCACCUCUAAGCGGAUCAAGGGAUGCCUGUGGCUGAAAUGUUCGAUGAUGUGCUCUUGAACUCGAUAAUGUUCGAUGAGUGUUGCAGCACAUGCAAAACCAAUCUGAAAAUUGCACAAGUCACAGCAGUACUUAUAGCCUUUGUGCGAUUGGUCGCAGAAAUCACAUCCAAACUCUAGAGUCCUCUUGAAAGAGAAAACAUCUGAUUCUUCUUUGAAGCGGAAACGGCAAUGUGGAUGAAAGUUGGUUUGGAGCAGUUGGGGUAAUUCGGCACAUGAUUGAUGGAACAAAGGAGAGUCAGAAUCGCAAUGUCCGCAGAUAUAAAAAUUACCAGAGAUUUCACCGAGGCAAGCAAAGCACCUCUCUGGACGAGACCCGCAGGAGCUGCAAUUUUUGGAUUCGUCAAAGUAACGACAGAAGCCACAACGACGGCAAUAUCCUUUGUAGUCAUGCUCAGAAAUGAAUGACAAGGGAUGCUGGUGGACAUGCAUGUGCAACUUUUCACUCUGCUCCAUCUCUCACCUCUCAUUCCUCCUCUUCCCUUCUCUGUUUUGCUCUUGCAGUUCGAUUUAGUUUACCAAUUCGGGAAACACCUCUACAUCAUUACUCUAAAACAUUUUCUUAUUGGAGGAAUCUCACUCGUUAUCACCAACAAUGGAGUUGACUUUAGGGAAAAAAUUAAUAUAUUUAGCGUAUCACGUUACAUGAAGCAAUAGAUGAGGAUUAAAAUUUUAAUUAAAAGAUAAAAAAUUAUUACUGUGUGCCCAUUGGCUGUGUAUUAGUCUAAUAUAUAUCUGUAAUCAGCUUGUUAUUAUAUUCUCAUCUUUUGAAUCUGAAUAAAAAUUAUAUUUGACAAUUCGGUGAUCACUUAAUUUGAGAUUCGUUUUCUUAUUUCUUUUUCUUUUUUUAACUCUUUUGGCAUUAGAGCACAAAAAAUUAGCUUUGUUAAAUGGUUGGUCAGUGAUUUCAUAAGGUUUGUUAUCCUUUCACUAUGCUAAGUAUUGUGAAAUAAUAAAUCACUACAUGAGUGAUUGAAAUAUAACACUUUUAAGUAAUUAACUUUUUUAAAAAAUAACAGUUUAUUAUAUUAAUUGACUUGUUAGUUGACUGAUAAAAUUUUAAUUUUACCCGUAAUGAAUAAGUUCCAAAAUAAAAAGAAAAUAAUACAAAUCAAUACCAUGUGAAUUUACAAUUUUACCUUGUUCUUACCGCGAGUCGCUUAAAUUUAUAAUGAUAUUUGAAUGAUGAUAUAGCCCCUGCAAUGGAUCUAUUGCAUGAUCAAUUGUAAAUUAAUGGAAAUGUAGUACAUUGUUAUUCUUAAAAAGUUAAUGUAGUAAGGUGUUACCUCCAGCGGCGGAUUUAGAAAAAUAAUUUAUCGGGGGCUAAAUUAGAUAAUAGUAAAAUAUAAAAAACUAAAAUUUUGAAUAUAUAAAAUAUUUACUAAUACAUUUAUAAUUAGUCUUUACGUAUUUUUGUUAUGCAAUAGACUCAUUAUCAAUAUUAUUAAAUUUAUUGUUUCUUAUAUAAACAACCAAACUAACACUUAUCCCAUCCGAUUCCAAAGAUGAUUCUUCAUGAAUUUUAUUACUGAAAACGUUUGUUCCACUAUUAUUAUAGAAACUGGAAGAAUUAACCAUAUUUUUUAGAUUAAAUAUGGAUUUUUAUAUUUUUUUAAAGUUAAAAUUUAAAUUUUAUGGGGGUUUAUAUUUUAUAGUGACUAUUUUAAUAAAUUUAAUGGGGGCUAAUUAGAAAAUUAAAAUAUUUUUCUCUUUUAUUUUUUAAUUUUUUUUUUGGCCAGUGGGGGAGCCCCCACUGGUCAUGUGCUGCAUCCGCCCCUGGCCCCUAGUUACCUCUCAAUAAUUCGUCUAGUAAUUUGUUAUUUCAUAAUACUUGCCAUAUUGAAAGAAUAAUAAUCCUAAGACCUAAUUACAAAUUUGGAUUUCAUUUGGUGAAAAUACGAUUUUGCCUGUAUGACAUCAAUGUGGCAGCAUAUUUAGAUUAACACGAGUGAUAGAAAUAUAAUAAUUGUUAUUUUUAAAAAGUUGAUGUAAUAAUGUGUUACUUUAAAUAAUUCGUGUGGUGAUUUUUUUUUCAAUACUUGUAGUAGUGAAAGGAUAAUAACAUAUUUCAUAAUGAACAAAUAAUGGAUGAAGUGCCCCUUUGACAUUGACUUUCUUUAAUUACUUUGUCAACAAAUCAAUUCCCCGCUUUUUCCUGAAUUUUAUUAAAUCAAAUGCUUUUUUAAUAAAAAAAUAUGAUAUUACGAAAGAUAAUUUUGGCUUAAUAUUACUUAACUAAUAUGCCAAUUAGUAAUCGACGUCCAAAAUGUGAAUGUGGCUAAAGGUAUUAGCUUUGACUUAGCCCUAGAGUUUCUUGAGUUCGACUUAAAAUUUUAAAUCACUCAAUAUAGUUCUUAAUUAAGCUAGAAAAGAAAUUGUACUAAUUCCUUCAUCACUUUCAUGUCGGAGAUCUUUUAGCCAAAACACUUGGGAGUGAAGGAUUUUUCAUUUUUUUUAUUUUUAUUUUUUUGGGCAAACAUCAUUUUUUAAAUGAGUAAUGCUAUACAUCACAAUUUUUUUGUCCCAAAAAAUUAUCCCAAAUAAUGUGGCAUUCAACAAUUGGUUGAUUAGAUAAUACAAUAACUUCAUUUAGAUCUUAAAAAAUUACCAAUCGCUUAAUGAAUGAUAAAUUGCUUUGGAUAGAAUUUGGGAUUAAAACAAAAAAUUGAGAUGUGUCAUUAUUUUUUUUUCAAAGAAUUUAGACCCGUAAUUAAAGGAUAAUUGUUAUUUUAUGCACAUGUUGUGUAGAUUUUGAAUUUACAUCCGAGAAUCACGGAUUACAAAAACAUCCGGAAACUAAAUAUAAACAAAUAUGUAUUCAGAAGUGAAGGGGAAAAAAACACUUUAAUUUUUAUAAAUGUAUUGACAACUCAUAUGACAGGUCAACAAUUGACGAAUAUGAUUUAAAAACUUUAAUGGUGUGUUUACUAAUCAGUAAUCGAAAUAGAGUGGAAUCGAAAUAGACUGGAAUCAAAAUGAGGAAUGAGAAUCAGAAUAAAUUAUUUACUUUAAAUGUGGGAAUCAGAAUUGGAAUGAAUUGUAUUGUCAUUGAUGUGUUUAUUUUAUCUUAAAAUCAGAAUAGAUAGUUAUAAGUUACUAAACUGACCUUAGUUUAUUAUUGUCAUAAUAAUAUGAUAAAAAAAAAAUUAAGAUUUAAGUGGAAGUAGUAUAGUCACUUUAGGAAAUGAAAUGUGAACAUGAUUAGAUUUGAAUCCAAUAUUGUAUUAAUUUCUUUCUCUCUUUUUCUUUUUUCUUUUUUGUUGGGAGGGGGUCCUUCUAGUGUUUUAAAAAUUGAGAUCCGCCAAAUGAGCCCAUAUAUGCUGACCCAAUAUUGGCUGUUGGACACUUAUUAUUGAAACCUAUGGCCACUCCUGCGCCUAUCUGCUUUUUUAACUAUUUUUUUGAUAGGCCUUUUUAUGAUACCGCAAUUCCUUUUACGCUAUUAAUAUGGACGGUUAAAUUUAAUUGAUAGUACAUAAUAUUUAGGGGUGUUCGCGGAUAAGAUUUUAUGAAUUAUACAUUAAUUUAUAUUCGAUCCACGAUUUUAUGGAUUAUAAAUUUUCAAUCCAAUCAAAUUCACAGAUUUGUGAAAUUCAAUUCAAAUCUAAUCCAUACAUAUGCGGAUCGAAUGCAGAUUUGACCCAAUCUACCAUUUUGCAAAUUAGUUUGCAGACCAAAAUUUUUUAAUUUUGUUCAAUCCAUGAACUAACUAAAUAAAAAAAAAUUAAUAUAAAAAUAAUGUUACUACCAAUCAAAUUUAAAUUUAAAUAAGAUUUAAAUAAAUUAAUUAUUUAAAUAAAGUUUCAAAAUAUAACACACCAAAACAAAAAAAAAAAUCUUAUUUGUUUAGAUCAGUACAUGGAAAUUAACUAUUUAGAAAGCUAUAUUUGUUUAUUUAAUUAUUUUUUUUUUUUUAUUAUUAUCGGAUAAGAUAUAAUAUAGUGUUAAUGUAACUAUAUUUUAACUUAUUUAUUUACUAGUAAGUACUAAUUCCUUAUUUACAACUUUUUUAAUUAAAUAAAUACUUUUUUAUUUUUUGCGGAGUCGUAGAUUUUUGCGGAUUUACAGAAGUAGAUCCAUAUCCAAUCCACCGAUUGCGGAUUAUCAAAAUUUCAAUCUAAUCCAAUCCACCAAUCCACGGAUCAGAUUUUUACAUAUCAAAUUUCUCCAGACCAGAGCGGAUCGGAUUGAAUUCUGAACACCCCUAAUAAUAUUUGUAUUAAAAAAAAAUUUGUAACGCUAAUAACAACAUAACGAAGUGAGUGCAUUUAAAUGAAUGUCAUAAAUUAAAUUAAUAAACUUCUUAAUGAAAUUGUCUAUAACAUAAGAAUAUUUGAUUACCCAUGUUUUAGUAAUAUUUAAUAUUAUUAAAAGCACCCACUAUUUUCUACAUAUAAAUAACUAUUGUAUAAUUGAUCAUGAAGUAUUUAUUACUUUUAAUAUCCAUUUAGCAUACCUAUACGGCUAUACCAUAAAAUUACGGUUUAUCUUACAAUCACUAUUCUCACAUAUUAGGAAAUUAUCCAAGUCCUAUAAAAUUUAAGUUCCAUAAGUCUAUUUUAAUUUUUUUUUCCAGUAUCACUUUUCUGCUUUUAUAAAAGGUGAAUCCAAUAUAUAUACUUAAUUAUCUUUAGUUUAUAAUUCAUAAAAAAGUUAUUUUAUCAAUAUUCUAUAAUUGUGAUUAUAAAAUUUUAUGUUACUAAGAAUUACUACUUUUGUGAUGGUAAUUAAUGGUGAAAAUUGAAAAGAAAAUUACCUGCAAUAAUGUUCAUACGAGAAUGAAUGAGGAAAAAAAAUUCUUUGUUAAUUUUUAUUUUUAUUGUAAAAACAUGGUUUGAACUAUUUUAACUUAAAAUUUUGACACGAAAUUUGAGCCAUUAAUCUCUCACAAUCUAAUAGUUGAUAUUGAAAGUAAAAGUAUAUUAUAAUGUCAAAUCAUCUAGUAUUGAAUUGGAUGAAAUCAAUAAUUAGAAUUUUGUGCAAAAAAUUAAAUUUAAGUAGCUUUUAUAUAUAUAUAGUAUCAUUAAUGAUAUAUACCAGAUAAUUUAUUACAAUGCAUUAAAUCAUUAAUGUUUAGGUAUUAAUGGUUUUCCAAUUAAACUCAAACAAUAUGAAUUAUUGUAAGACCUUAUGGAAUAUCUUAAAUAAAGUGUAGUUGAAAUAGUUAAUUACAUUUUACUUAUAUACUAUUUUCCUUUAUCAAUUAAUUAAAAUAAAAAAGAACUUAUGUUUAUAUGCAACAUGAAAACUACUUGUUACUUUUUAGUUAAUUAAUUAUUUAUACAAUUAUUAAAUGAAUUUUAGAGAUUAAAAUACUGAAAUCCAAGGAUCCACAAUAACUGUAUUAUUAAUAAUGUAAAAACUUAUAUGGUAUCAUAUAAAAAUCCAUUUUAGAUAGAAGAGAACAUAGUAUUGAUUUUCCCUUUUUAAAUUUUUAUCUUUCAUCUUACGAAUCACGUCAUGUGUAGUAACAAAUUAAUAAAGUUAAUGGUAUUUUUAACCUUCUUUUUUUUCAAAAUCCCAUAACGAAAAUUCAUCAAAAGCAUGUGAAUGUGAAUGUGAAUGUGAAUGUGAAUGUAAAUUCCAUCCGGUAAUGGUAAAGAAAUUGCUAGUGGGAGAUGUGUCUUAAUUAAAGUUCAUCACAUGGUCAACUCGGAUGCAUGUAUCAUAAAAUCUAUUUCCAAGAUAUUUUUUUGGCUCUGGGUAACAAUUGAACAAAUUAUUUCACAAGCAAAGAAAAUUGAACUUGAAAGUUCCAUCGAUAGAACAAAACAUUAAUGAUUCAACGGACGGCGGAGGAGCGGCACGUCCGCAGCGAUCGGCGUCGAUGACUAAUGUUGGUGGGCGCGGGUCAACAGGAGCGCCUUGCGGCUACGUUUUACGUUUGAGCGACGCUACUAAAUAAGUAAUGCUAGGUGUAGAGAAGCACGAGAGAAAGACAAGAGAAUUUUGUCCUCUUUCUCUUUACCCACUCACUUUCUCUCUACCAUUUUCUUCUUUAUUUCUCUUAUUUUCUCUCGUGCUUCUCUUCACUAAGCAUUUUCCCUACUAAAUAUUUUCGUAGCACUAGUAGUAACUAGGCCCUACGGAUACAAUCAUACAAAUGAGAAAUUGAAGUUUUAUUUUACUUUAUAUCCAACAGGUCGUCUAGUUUUAAAGUAUAUAAACGACAUUACAUAAAAUAAUUAAAUUUUAUAGUUGACAAGACAACCAACAUAUUUUCAUAAGAGCACUGCUAAAUGAACAAAGGAAUGACAAAGGGACGACAGAAAUAAAUAUCUGUGGAUCUACUUUAUUAUUUAUUGUCGGCCCCACAAAACAAAUUAAAAAAAGAAACACGUGAAACGGCAGCAUUGGCUGCCGUUUCUGUCGUCCAUUUGUCUUGCAUUUGUUCGUUUAUCAUUUUCCUUUUCAUAAUCGAUAAGCGUAAAAGAUAUGCAUCAACCUAGUCUAUGGAUGCGUCGUUUCUAUUGUUUUAUAGAAGCAGUACGACAUGACGCCUGAAUGUUUCAUAUCCCUAUACUUUGUAUACGUGAUUUUCAUCAUAUAAUCAUAUGCAUACAUAUUGUUAUUUGAGAAUGAGACCUCAAUUUUUGUUUCGACCAAUUUGAAGAAACAUGAAACAUUAAUAAUUCUCACUAGUUUAUAAAUUGAAUUUUAUAAAAAAGAUUUCAAUAUCAUGUGAUUCAUGUAAACUCAACACGUGCCAAAAUCACCUAAUUUUUAGCAUUACACGAAAAGAAGUUCCAUAUUGCAUAUAGUUUGCGUUGCAUAAAAUAGCAAGGCCAAAAUACCAGCAUUCAAGGUGACAAAAUAUGUGUAUCUCAAGCACUCUGAGCUUCUAAGAAGGCAUUGAAGUCCUCCCUGGCCUUGCGCAGGCGAGGCGUAAUGCAAGAAGCUGGAGAUGAAGGGUAUGAUGUGGGAGAUGACACAGAAAACCGAACAUGCCGAGAAGGUUCUUGGGAUUUAUGGGCUGACGUUGUGGCUCUACUUGAACCAUUUUUAAGAACACCCUUUACAUCCUUGUCGAAUACGAAAGCUGCAUUGAUGGGAGAGUGAGCGUCGUUCGCACUGUUUCUGAUCAACUCCAAUGGCAGAUCAAAGUAGAGGUUCAUGGAGUCUCCGUCUUCUUCAUGUUCAUUAGCAAUAGCAGAUGACGCCCAUGAUCCACAUUCGAAUUUCUCUAAAGAAACUGUCCUGGAAAUCACAUUUUCCAUCACAACCAUUUCCUCCUUUCUUGGCCUCACUGCCUUCGCUUUGCCGAAGCCUGGGAGAAACAAGCAAAGGGCGCUGCAUUUGAAUUCCGGAUCAUCAUGAGAAUCCAUGUUCUUGCUACUGCCGUAAUGAAUGUACUUGUUGGUGUCAGCUCUGGAGAAGCUGGCAUUUGACAUUUUGUUGUAUUCGCCGGCAUCCGGUUUACUCAAGCAAAAGUCUACUUCAUCUGAAUAUGCACUGGCUCUUCCUUCGCCGCAAGACUUGCUCUUUCUGAACGAUUCUUCUUGCAGCGAGGACGUAUGGGAUUGUACUACAGCAGAUUGCUGGCGGACAAUGUUGUGUACUUCACGGGGAGACGCUUGACUUUCGUUUUUCCAUCUCUUCUUCGACAGAAAUGAGCUCAACCGUGGGGAUGAUACAGCUGAGUUCGACAGGUUGUAGCUUAAGAACUUGGGUUUUGCAGGGGCCAGAACCGGCGGCAGAGGCACAGUGGUGUCUCUUGCGGAUGUAAUAACUGGAGGCAACAUCAAACUAAAACUAGGUUCCCUUAUUGAUAUCGGAUCCACCAAUAUCUGCUUUUCCUUCUCGGGGCUCUCCUUCUUGACUGUACUUUUAGCUUCUUCGAUGAUGUAGAAUCUUGAGUCAUCGACACCAUUGUGGACUUCCUUUUGUCCUGGAAAUGACAUGGUGUUAGGGCAGAAACCGCUGGGAUAAAGCAAAAGAUGGCCCGGGCUACUUAAAAGAGGAAAAAAGAGGUAGAAACAAGAUAGGACGUGGGCAGCAUGCCGUUGGCAUGUUAGUUGGUAGUGAUAUGCAUGUUCUCCAUUUCCUCAAUAAUAUAUAAGGAGACAUGUCUCGAUAAAAUAUAUUCUUCUCAAUACGAAAAUCAAACAAGCAAUGCAUGCAACAACUAACUGAAUAUUUUUUGUAUUCUAAUGUGACUUUUUUAUCAUGCUGAUGGCAUAGCUACUCUUGAGUCUUGACAUAUAAAAAGAAAAAGGAAAACAAGAGCUUGAAGAGAACACAAGACAGAGUUCUAAUUUUUUAAGUUAACGAUGUGCUUACAUUAAAACAACAUUUAUGCAUGAACGCAUGGGAGAAUCUACACUAUAAGCUAAUAAUAAAAUGGGUUUUAGGGAGUCUUUGAUCACAAAGUGUGAAUGAAAUUGUACCUUGAAAAGCAAACCACUGAAAGCAUCAAAUCCAUAAAUAUUCUGUGUCAUUUAUAAUGACUCUUCAGCGAUGGUUUUAGUAGAUUUCAGCGCUGUACAAAUAGCUCAUGACCAAUUAAAAGAGGAAAACUACUUUACAAAUGUACAUCCAACAGAAAUGUUAUUUCACUUCACUAAUGUGAUAUACAAAUUUAAUUCAGGACUGUUGAAUCUGGCGACACAAAGGUUAUACACUGAAGUUAAAUGACAAGACAAAAUUUCUACUGGAGAGAAUUAUAGAACAAAAUUAAGACAACAGAGAUCCCAAUGAUGACUGGAAAAGCCGUGACUAAGUACAGUGCUCCAUAACCCUGCAAGACAAUUAGCUUCCUUGGUCACAAUCCCCAACGAUUGCAGAACAUGAAUUUCACAAUUCCAAACAGUCGGUGUGUUAAUGCUGUCCUCACAAAGAUGUGCACUUCAAUCAGCAUUCACAUUCUAAAAGCAUUUUAAAAAUCAUAUUAGUCAACUGGCUUUUCAAUAAUGUAACAUUGUAAUAAACUGUGUUUACCCAUAGGGUUUGAUCCCCACAUUUUUGUGGAUUAACCUUUGAAUUAGAAAGUAAAUUUCAAUAAUCAGUUUGAGGCAAUCAAUUAGUAUCGGUAUAAUGACAAAGUAGCAGUCACAAUAUAAGAGGGUAACAGCAAGUAAUAAUUUGUUCAUAAUCUUUUAGAAUUUGACCAGUUUAACAGCUGCUACUUUAAUGAGAGCAGCAGCAACUCCAAGAUACAUUGGACAAAGACAGCCUCAUAGUCAUGGUAAACAGAAAAUUUUCUUCCAAACUGAAAAAUAGCCAGACACAGAUAUCAGAGAGAGAGGGAGAGAAGAAAACAAACCACAGCGGAAGGCACUUCUGGGUCAUCACCACCCCCCGCAUCUUCAAUUUCAGCAGCUGAAUCCCAAUCAAUGUUCAGUCUCUUUGCAGCCAUUUCAGGAUCAAUACCAGUGUCUGUAACUUUAGCAUACAAGGAUUUGCUAGGCUUCUGCUUUGUUGCUUCCACCUAUUCAAAAAAUAAAAAGAAAAAAGAAAAACAGAGCUAAUAUCAAUAAAUUAGCAAGGAAAUUAGCUAAUAUCGGUAAUUCAUAUGCUUAACAGUGUCUUGUCCUGAAGAAGAGCUACACAGAUACAGAAGUUAAAGGAAAUUUGGAAAAGAAAAAUGUAGCAUAAAGCUAUUAAAUUAAAUUUUAAGAAAUUUUCUUUCAAAACGGCAUCAAAUUAUGUUCAGGAAGCUUGUAUUAAGCUUAGGAAAGUUUUUACCAAAAAGAUAGGUAAAAUUGAUUGAGAUGAAAAGUUUACAGCUUAUAGACACUAUAAUGUUUGGAUCCAUCUGUAAAAUUCAGCUUAAUUUGACCUACCAUGUAAUGAGAGGCUCCCUUUUCAUUAAGGAACUCCAUAUGAAAUCUAGAAAAUGGUAAGCUGAACAUGAUCUUUAAAGGAGAGUUUCCUAAGUAUGAUGUGAUGAAGAAAGAGCGAAAAUUGCAUUUGAAAUGCCCAAAAUCCAAGGAAAGAAGCAUCUAAAAUUCUAGUAUGAGCAAGAUAUGGAGGAAACAUAAUCCAUAUAGACUUUACUGGUCUUCAGCAUACAACUUUUAGAUCCAUCAAAAUACAGAAAAUACUCUUGUUUUGUUGCUCAAGCAAAGUUUUCAUCUAUGAGAAGUCUUUAAUGGGGUCCUCACAUUUCUUUUUCAAGGUGCUUCUAUAAAGAAACAGUUAAUACAAUUUUGAAAAUAAAGAAAAGCAAACUGGUUGCUGUAUAGUUUAAUAUCUACCACAAGAUUAAGAAUAUUUAGGAAAUACUACAAGCCAGUAGACAUUCCUAAGUUUCCAUCAUGUACUAAGUAAUUUACAAUAGAUAAAAUGUUACAAAAUAGACCCUGCAAAGUAAAAUCUAUGAAACCACUCAGAAAUUAUCAACAAUACAUCAUAUAAAAGAUAGGGAAUCUGUACAAAGCUGACAGUGGAAAGGCCAUUCUGCCUCAAGCCAUGCAUAAAUGGGAAGAAAUUUCAGACCGAAACGGUAAAUUCAACCUAGAGAAAAGUGUACACUAAUCAACACUAGUUGCCCUGUUUCAAUGUAUGUGCACAUGCAAAUAUCACACAUCUCAACAUGAACAAGUAUAAUGCUCCCAAAGUAUGUUUAUACCUCUAAAUUAGGCCAUUGGACCAUUUCCUCGGCCAGCAUUCGCAGCGCAACACGAUUUUUUGGGACCUUUCCUUCAUUCACCUGGUAGACAAAUGAUUAAAUCAUCAUCAAUCUUGCAAGCGAGGAAAAGUGAUUUGAGGCUAUCAGUAGACUUUUAAGCUUUAAGGCUCAAACAUUAGACUGUAGUGUCUUUUAACACUUGACCGCAUUGCUAUAUAAAAGCUUGGAUACUCCUACUGAACAUAGGAGAGGAGAUAAUAUAACACAAAACCUAGUGCAGAAUAAAAAAAAAAUUACCCUGAGCAUUCCCUUCCAACACCUCUGUGCUGGUUCACCUAGAUCCAUACACAAGCUUGCUAGUGACUAUUUACCUAUGUAUUGUUUGUACCAAAUGCCACAUGUCAAUUCUUUGAGACAAUAAACGCUACAAUUUCUUUAGAAAAUAGAUGUGUCAAAUUCCCAAGAGGCUUUGCCUGUCAGGCGCCAAGACACGGCUUGCCAUGUCUUUGAGGAAUGAACUUCAUUAACAAAGAUUGUGAUUUUUAAUGUAUCCAUCUGGGACAGAAUGGCCUAGUAUAACCCCAGACAGAGUAGACCAAUAAGCACCUUAGAUGACAUAAAAAGGGGUAUGAAUCAUUGAGAAGAGUUCCUCAACUUAUUUCCUGUGUUGGACACCUAGGGGUCAGUCCCAGGUAAACUCUUACCUGAAUCAUAAGAAUUUUACUUAAGUUGGUAGAAUGAAUUAACAAUACAUUGAGAUAGAGACCCUUCUGCAAUGAUGGGAUUAUGUGUUCACUCUGCUUUAGAAAUACCAUUUAGUGGAGGACAAAGGUAACUGUCAGUCCAGUUGGCCUCAUAGAACUAAGCUCUAGUAUCUGGGGCCCCCAAGGUUUAUUUUCUACUUUUUCUAACAAAUGAAAAGAGUCUGGCUUCCCCCUCACCUGCUUCAGAAAAUGAUUUGUUAUGCCACAUUAUAUAGGUUCUCCUGUCAAACUGGACAACAGCCGUAUUGCUAUACGUACCCUGGUGCAUUUUUAUUACAUACAGGUUGUUUUCUCUUGCAAACUAAGAUACUACUAUCAGCUCAAAAAAUCUUGUGGUUUGCUGUCUGCACCUAAACUUUUGACACACUUAUCAUCUCCUUUAACAAUAAUCUGAAACAGCUUUUUUCCUUAAUUAUGCAGCAAGAACCACACAAAACAAUUGAAAUAAAAUAUUCAGACCUUGCCAAUUGAUACAUUUCCUUUACUAGAGUCGGGGGAGAUAGAUGGCAAAGAUUAUUUCAUAAGAACUCUCCUUAAAUGCAUUUCUAUUAAGCCUAUAGACAUUAAAUUGCUUCAAUAAGUACAAUGCAAAAUACCACUUAGUAUCAUUAGAAGAGAUCAAUGGACUUUAAAACUCUUUAGAUGAUCUUUCAAUUAACAAAUAUAAUAAUCUACAGCAACCUUUAUCACCAUUGAAUUUUGCAACAUCUUUCCCAUUUGUAAACUAUUCUCUAAAUUACAAAAUAUUCACAAAUUCAAGUAACUCCUCAUAUCAUAUUUUAGCCUUGAGGAGAAAUUUCCAAGAUAAUUUCAAUUCAAAUGUUUUUGUGGGUUACAGAUUGAAAAACAUCAAAAGUAAAUGAAAAUGUAGGGACUUACUUGCUCCAAAGCUUCAGCCAGAUCAUCUCUAGUAGGAGCAUUGGAAUCUUCAAUCCCCAACAAUCUCCUUCUCUCAACCUCUCUUGGGUCCUCAAUCAUUAUGGUAAGCUUAACCUACAAAUUCAGAAGCCACAAGUCGAAUUUUUCACAUAACUUCAAUGCAGAGAUACACAAAAAUGUAUAAUUUCAAAUAAAUUCUCCAAAAUCAAAUGCAUUCUUGCUAAGAAAUAAAUAAAAUUCAACAAUGCUAACACUUACUUCGCUGAAGAGCAUGUCACGGUUUUUCCUGAGAAGCUCUAAAACUCUUUUAACCUGAGCAAUGUUUUCCAAGUCUUCUGGGGUCGCUUCUUCUUCUUCUUCUUCUUCUUCUUCUUCUUCUUCUUCUUCUUCUUCAUCUUCUUGGUCUUGGUCUUGCAGAUCAUUUUCUUGAGCGACACGCAGAUCAGUGUCUCCUUUACCAACCAAAGCAACAACCCUUUGACUACUCCUUCUGCUACAACAAAGACAGAGCUUUGAAGCUCUCCAACUUGUAGCGGCAAACAAGGGAUGGUAUUGAUUGAUCUGAUUGUCGCUGUGGCGUAAGAUGAUGGGUGAAGCAAGCGGCAUUUGCGUAAAAGUUGCUGCCAUCUUGUUUGUUUUGCUUGAAAAGACUUUAUUAUAGCUUUUGUAUUUCCUUCAUCAAAUUCAAAGCAUGAAUUUAGUUCCCAGAUGAGCAAUUCCCCUGUCUUGUUCUGUAUAACUCUGUCGUUGUUUUGCUUUGCUUUGCUUUUCUUUGUUGCUUGCUUCACCGAGGCUCUUUUUCAUUCGUAUGGUUAAUUUUGCUUCUCACUUCUUGGAUUUCGUGGCCAGCGUAACAGAUUGGCUUUUUAAAUUAAUUAUUGGAUACUAACAUUCAACUCCCUACUUUUUUAUAAUAUUUCAAAUGAGGAUAUAAUUUAUAUAAUUAUUCUAAAUUGUUAUGCUCUGAAUAUAAUAAUUUACUGGUGAUAUCAAUAAUUUAAUUUUAUAUCCCUGAAAUAAAUCAGCAUAUAGAAAAGCUGAUUUUAGGGUAUGAAAUUCAAAUUUUGGACUUGAUUAACCCAUUUCUAAAUGGAUUUUUUGAAAAUGACAAAUUGAAAAUCAUAAUAUGAAACAUAAUAUAAAUGAUGUACUUUAUUGUAAUAAUUUAUAAACUAUGUGCCUAUGUGUUAAUUAACCCAUAAAUUGAGGCUCGCGGUAGCCGAGGGCUGGGCUGGGCUCUUCUCUUGGAUUGGUAAAAUCUGGCCUCAAUGCAAAAGUGACCUGAGUUUAGAGCCGGUCUUUCGACCCGACCAAAAGUUUUCAUAAAAUCUUUUUUAAUUAAAAUUACUUAAAUAACUAAAAUAAAUUUAUUUAUUUUUAUUUUAAAUGGAUAUUUAAUUAAAGACUUAAAUGAAAUUUAAAAAAAAAAAUUACACCCAUCCCAUUUCAUAACUUAUAUUUAUAUUUUAGAUUUUAAUUGAAUUUUUUUAGAGACAUUUAUAAGAGUUUAUGAUUAUUGAGAUAGAAACUGUAGAAUUAGAAGAAAAUAAUUAAAGAUUUUAAAAGUUUUUAUUUAUUUUAGAAAUAAAAUUUAAGAGAAAUAUUAUUUUUAAAAGUAAAAUUUUGUAGUAAGAUGAUUGAUUUUAAUAUAUAAUUAGUAUUAAAUAAAUUAAAUUGGGGAUAUUUUAAGAACUAAAAUUCAAAAGGGGUGUUAUAAAGAAUGUAGGUAAAUGAGAAUAAAACUCAUGUUUAUUUGAUAAAAUAUAAUUUGAGAAUAAAAAUAAAAUGUGUGGAUCCCACACAAUUUAGAAAUAAGGAUUGAGAAUCUCAUUCACAUGGGGGGUUGGGAAUGAGAAUGAAAUUCAUGUUUGCUUUUGUAUCCCUCUAAUUUUUUCAUAUUUCCCGAAUUACUAUUGUUCAAAUCAUAAUUAAUUUUAUUAUUUUAAAUGUCAUUAUUAUUAUUAUUAUUUAAUUAAUAUAAUUUUUAUAAUAAUAUUUAUAUAUGUAUCUAGUUAAUGAAAAUUACAUUAUUUAAUACUAUGGAUAUUUUGGUAAAUUGAUUCUCAUUCCCAUUUAUUUUGCUAAGUAAACACAUCAAUGAUAUUUUAACACAUUCUCAUUCCCAUUUAUUUUUGUCCAAGUAAACAUUGGAAUCUCAUUCCCAUUCCUCAUUCUCAUUUCAUCUCAUUCUCAUUCACAUUCUCAGUCCAUUCAUAUUCCAUGAAGUAAACGCACUAGUAAUGAUUGUAUGCUUAUUACUGCAUAUUUUGACAAAGGAGAUGCUAGUAUUAUUUGUUUUCUAGUAAUAUUACUUGGGAAUAAAUUUAGAAAUUGAAAAUAUCCAAAGUUUAGAGAAUAUCUUUUAACUAUAAUAAAUGUAAAAAUUGAAAUAUUAAAUUAUAUUAAAACGGGAUAUUAUCAUUUUUCCACCAAAGGUAUUCUGACACAUCAUGUCAGUACCACGGUUUGGUAAAAUUAUCAAUUUACCACCAAACGUUUAAACUGUUAGCAUUUUCCCACCAUUCCGUUAAAACUCAGUUAAUAUGUAACGGAAAAUUUCUAAAAUGUCAAUUUUACCCAUGGAGCAUAAAAAACCAUAUAAUUAACCUUUUAUGAAUUUUGUAAUUAAAUCAUCAUUUGUUGUUCUUCAUUCUUAAAGGACAAAAAUUACCCUUUAUAAAAUUUUGUAAAAUUGACCAUGAGGUGCUAGGUACUUCAUAAAUUGAUUUAAUUUUUAAUUUAUUUAUUAAAUUGACGAGCUAAAGCCAAUUUAUAUUUUUGAUGCUCCAGGGAUAAAAUUGAUCUUUUAGAAAUUUUAUGUUACAUAUUAACUGAGUUUUAACGGAAUGGUGGAAAAAUACUAACAGUUUAAAUAUUUGAUGAUAAAUUAAUAAUUUUACCAAAUCGUGGUACUGACAUAAUAUGUCAAAAUACCUUUAGUGGAAAAAUGAUAAUAUCCCUGUUAAAACCAACCAUCCUACCACAAACUUUAAAGAAAUAUUCACUUUCACACUAAUGUUGGAGAGAGAGUUUUUUAUUUUAUAGAGUGCUACUAGAUAACGAGAGAGUUGAGAGAAACGACAUCCCAAGCUGUCGUUUUGCUAUCUCUCUCUCUCUCUCGCCAUUUAUCAAUUAAAAAAUUGAUAAAAUAAUGAAAAAAAUCCAAAUUAACAAAAAAAUCCAAAUGAAAUCCAGAAAGCAGAUCACUCUCAGCUUAUCCUCACACCCUUCAAUUUGCAUUUUCCUUCAAUUUAGAAAUUCUCUCUCCCGAAGGACUCCUCUCCAACACCACCAUCGUCGACCACCGCAGCCACAUCUUAUCACCAACACCGCUGACGACGACAGUGACGAAUAGAGGCAAUAACGAAUAGGAGCUGUCGGUGUGGCACCACUGACGACGACAUGACCGCUGUUGUUUUGAGGGUGAAUUGGGUUGUUUAGUUUCGUUGUAUGUGGUUUGAUUUGGGUUCUAGGUGUGGUGACUUUGGUGGCUGUGAAAAUUGCAGAAUUGGGUGGUUUUUGUUUUGUUGUAUGUGGUUUAAGUUGUGUGAAAAUCCAACAGACUUAAUUCAGCUGGUAGAAUUGUUGUGAAUUUGAGAAAGCUAGUUUAAGUUGUGUGAAAAUUACUAAAUUUUGAUUAAGUGUGAUGUAGAUAACGAAAUGCACAAUUUCCAUUAAUUUUAUCAAAUUUUUAAACGAUAAAUGGCGAGGAGAGAGAGCAAAACGGCAACUUGGGAUGUCGUUUCUCCCCAUUUUCUCGACAUUUAUCAUUUUCCUAUUUUAUAUAUAUUGGGUGCGUGAUAAAGUAGGGAUGGCUAGGAGUGUAUGUGUGAGUAUAUAUAUAUAGUUUUUUUGUCUGGAAUCAUAAAGUGCAGUAAAUGUUAGGGAAAAUUUUAAAACUGUGGAGUUUUAAAGACUUAAAAUUUAAAACGUUUAAACCACACGGUUUAUGUGUUUUUUCAUACGUUUUCACACUUUAAAAUUUCGGAUUAGAAUAUUUUUUUUUCUCUCCCUCUCUCUUUAUAUAUAUGUAUGUAUGUAUGUAUGUAUGUAUGUAUGUAUGUAUGUAUGUAUAUAAAUUCAUAAAUGAAAAUAAAAGUGUUAAAAUGGGACUGCAUUUGGGAUGAUGCGUGGGGUCAGAAAGAAUUACGCUCCAUGAAGUCUCUUUGAAAGUGAACAUGUGAAAUGCCUGGUCAGUGAAAGCCCAUAAAAGAAGCCUAGAUUUUUAGUAACCGAAACAAGUGACACUUGGAUGAACCACCGAACAACAAAUGCCUACAUAUAUUGCACAAUAUAUUCUUAUGGUCAGUGAAUGUGAGGCUCCUUGAAUCCUCAUUUCCUUGUUUCAUGUGCUCGCUCGUUGCUGAUGGAAUUCUGUCCAAAGAAACAAGCACCCGGCCGCUAUUUGAUGCAUGCUUGCGUACUUACCCUUAUAAUAAUUAUUCACCUUAACCUUUUAUCUGGAUAAUAUAAAUGAAUGGAUGGCUGGAUCAUAUCGAUUGGAAAUGUACGAACAAUUUAUAUAUAUAUAUAUACACACAUACACAGAGAGAGAGAGAGAGAGAGAGAGAGAAUAAAGGCACAAUUCGUUGUCGCGGUUUGAUCAGUAAAGCUGGAAUCAUAAAUCUUUAUUUUGUGAAAAGAGAGAUAAUACCGAUGGAGCCAACUCCCAAGUGUAUGAUUCUUUAAAAAGCAAGAUUGAUAUAAGGCUGACCAGAAUGUAGAUAAAGGCAAGUCCUGCUAUAUAUAUAUAUAUCACAAGCCGCCCCUGCAGUGGCAAACUGGCAACAACGCCCCUUGGGCACCGCAAAUUCAUAAAGCAGCUAGUAGUACGUUGAUCGUGAUCCAUCAGGAUCAGGGCUUUUUCUGCCUUUGCUUUCUCCCUACCAAUUUGAUCCAGUGAUAAUAUUUCAGCUAUAGUAACUGUCUCUUAUCUCUAGCUUUAGGGUAGCCUAUUUGUCAAUGCACGGCGUCCUACAGGUGCCAAUGCCAAUGUCAGUGUCGUGCAUAUAUACAAUCUUGAUCUCUUUUCUUUCUCUUUCUCGAUAGCUUGUACGUUGCUUUAUUCACUUGAGCUAUCUUCAAAUUAACCUUUAUAGUUAAAGCUUGUAUUUCAUGGUGAAAAAUAAAAUCCGUCUCGAAUUAUCCAAAAUUGUUACUUGCUAGGAUAUAAUCAACUUUAUAAAGUUCAGAACGUGAAUUUUGUCUACAUAUAUAUGGUGGUGUAAAAUCUCCCUUUUCUUUUUCUUUAUUGAUUCUGGGACAAAUUAAUCCCACUUUUAAGGCUUGUGUUUGUUUUAUAUGCUUUGCUUAAUACCUAAGGCCUAGGGGUUAAUUAUUCACUCAUGUCAAUUUAAUUUAUGUGUCUUUUUUGUUUUAUAUGCUCUCUUAAACCUACGAGUUACGAGUCAUCCAAAAAAUAAAAUUAAAUUGAGAUUUGCAUACCUCUCAUCUGUUAGAUUUUUAUUGUGCAUGUAUUUAUUUUGAUACAAUUAAUAAUGAAGAAAAACCUGUAGUAAAAUUUUUAACAAAGAGUAUCUAUACAAUAUAUAACGCAUAAAACUCUUUAUAAACAAUAACUAUCAUCAAACAUCUAAGUCUCACUUAUCAAGUAUGUUUGAAUGAAUACGAUGGGUUUAUUGUUUAAAGUUUUUUUUUUUAAUUGUUUAAAGUUAAAACGUUAUUCUUGAGAUGAUACACUAUUAGCUCAUAAUGGAUUAUUAAAUAAGUCAGUGUUAGGGUUAUUCAAAUGUUGCUUAUAAAGUAUAAUGAAUGGAUCUCCAAAGGAGCUUUAUAAGAUGAUUAUCUUAAUUCACUGGAAAGAGAGGGAUGGUAUAAGCAAAUCAAUCAAAACGGAAGUGGGCUGCUCUUUUUUUUAUUAUUUUUUCUUUUAUUUGGUUUGUUAAAUACAAUUAAAUCCCGACAAACAUCAAGCAUUCAACUAAUCAACAAAUCAUUGUCCGGUAAUAAAAUAUUCAAAUUCGACAAAAUUUGCUUUAGUUGACUUUUUAAGAUCACUGGCUGCUAGUACUUUAACUAGUUCAUCAUCAUUAAAAGUUAAAAUUAUAUUAUAUUUGAUAGAGCGCAAAGCUUAUGUUACAUUUGCUGUAACAAACAGUCAGUAUAUUUGGGUGGUUGGAUUUUAAUAUUUUUCAAUCCAAUGAAUGAAAAUAACUUUAACCUAAAACGAGGUACGGGUGUAAUAGCUUUUUACAAUAUUUUUUUAUUUUGAAUCACAUAUUUGUUUAUUUUUUCAAGUAAGUCCUCAUUAAUUUUGUAUAACUAAAUGACUUUGCUAACCAUCUCUUCUACAUUUAUUCUUAAAAUUUUUUAAAGUUUUUACUAUAUUUUUAUAAAGAUCUAAAUAAUUAUCAUAUUCAUAAAUAUUUACAAAUUUUGAAUAUAUAUUUUUAUCUGUAUUUAUAAUUUCUUAUCUCUCCUAAGAAUAAACUAGAUUAUAUGUAUGUAUGUAUGUAUAUAAAAUUUAUAUUUAGCAUCUUGGAUUAUAAGAGAUAUUAUAUGUCAUAAAUAUGUUAUGGCUCUAAUAAAUUACUAGAAAGAUAUUACAAUGAAUAAAUCAUUAGAAUCUCUAAUAAUUUUACAAAAUAUAUAAAUUAUUGAGUUACCACAUUCUAACUAUAUAAAUGAUAUAGAAAAAGUAAACAAAAUAUUAGAAAUUAAUAAUUUUAAUGAAGAAAACAUCAAACAAAUUAAAAAGUUAGGAGAUCAAAUGAGUAAAAAAUUUAAUAAGGUUAAACAAUUAAUAAAAAACUUCACAUUGAAGAUAAUGAUAUAUUAAAGUAAGAAAUUGUUAAUAUAAUAAAUAAAAAAUUAAUAAAUAUAAGAUUAAACAAGUUAGAGAUUCAAUUAGAUAAAAUAAAAACUUGGUACUGAAUUUGCUAUAAAUAUAAAUAAAAAACUUAAACAAAUUGAAGUACUAUUGCAGUGUGGUUUGGGGUUUAAAAUAAAACUUUAAAAUUUAUUGACUUUUUUAUAAUUAUUAACUUUUUUGAGGAUUAAAAAAUUUAUAGCUGUAACUUACAACUGAUGUAACAUAAGCUCUGCCUUCUAAAGAGGAAAAGAAUAAAAAUAAAAAAGACAAAGCAUUAAAGAGGUAUUCCUUUAGUCCUUUCUCUAUAAUUAUGAUCAUUUGAGUAAUAUAUUUUAAGACCAAAUUAAAGGGGGUGUAUGUAUAUACCAAAUGGUUGUGGCGGCUCAGUUGGUAAUGUAGGCUGGGUUUGUGCGAAGAGUUCUCGGGUUCAAUUUAUACUAAAUACAUCAUUUAGGAGGGAUAAGAAGUUUUAACUGUGACUAUACCCCGAAUUCGAAUUAAUCAGGGUCCAAUGUGAUCACCGAAAACCGGAUGGUUUAAAAAAAAAAUGGAUGUAUGUAUUAUAUUCACCUAUUUAAUAUCUUAGAGUAAAAAUUUAGUAAAUAAUUUGAAUACAAUAAAAAAAAAACACACAUGUAAAGUUCAAUGCAAUUAGACCCUUAAUUUAAUAAGUAAAAAUUUGAAAUGCCGACAUGCUUUUGACAUAUUGAAAGAACAUGUGUGUAUUUCAAUCAGAAAAAAUUAUGCUGUAAUCAUUUAUAUAUUACCCUCAAUAGUUAUUUUUAGUAAUUGGUUUUAUUGAUAGACCGUUGUAUUUUGUACUUUUUUUUUCUUCCCACUAGUUGUUAAUUGUAUUUUUUUUUGUUUUUUAAUAAUAAUAUAAGUAAAAAUGGCAUAGCUGACUAGACAGCCAUUUGUAUCUUCUGGUUUAUAUAUUGAUAUGUCCAUCCACGUACAUAAAAUACAUAAUAUAAACACUUUUUAAGCAUGCAAGACCCACGUACUUCAUGAUUUUAUAUAUUUAAAGUUUCAUGCAAUAAAAGGUUCACUAUAAUCCCAUCUAAUGACAUAAACGGCAUCUCAUUUCUCCUGUAAUUUGGUUUAAAAAAGACAAUUAAUUAGAGUUACAAUUUCACUAGGACUAUCCAAGGUUUCGCCAAGAUUUGGAAAAUCUUAAAGCUAUGCAUGUAUGAGCCAAAAUUAAGAUAAUAUAUUUUUGUAAUAAUUUUUUUUCUGUAAAAUCUUUAAGUAAUUAAACAAAAGAAUAUCCAACGUUUCUACCCUACCAAUGAAGAUCCACCUCUCUCUUUCUCCAUUGGAUUUUAGAAUUUAGAGUUUUAAUUAUUAUUGAUUAAUUUUCAAUAUUAUUAUUUGUAGCUUUCUCUUUAUUAGUUGACCCACCACUUACAUUAAAGAAAGACUCAAGUCAUAAGUAAACACACAGACGCCCACCAAAUUAACUUGUUCUUACUUAAAAAAGGUAUCAUGGAGACAAGCUUAAUCAAAAUCCACACAUUAAUGCCUUGUUACAUCACCAUUAGUGUAGCUACAAAUAAAUUAAAUUUCAAUUUUUUAAGUAAUGGACAACAAACAAUGUGCUUCAUUUUGUUUCGUAUGCGGACAAAAUUUGUUGAUGGAUGAUGAAAGAUUAAUAAAUUACAUUAGCUUGGUCCUCUAAUUAUGUAUUAAAUUAUUCUAAUUAGAAAUUUUCUUUAUAUUGAAAACAAGGACGUAGCACGUGGCACUUAGUGCGAAAUGUCAAUUUAAGAUUAAUUAUCAUUUUCAUUUAGUAGAAACAAUGGAUAUAAUAAACAAAAGCUUUUUUUUCCCCCCAAACCAAAAGUUGCCUAAAUUAAAUAUAUCUUCAGUACAUUCUUCUAGACAAAAAUUUGAAUGAAAUCAUCAAGCUAAAAUAAAAAAUUACACAGAAAAUUAGAAAACUGAUAACGGGUCCAUGUUAAGAUGAUCUUACAAUUGAGAACUAUAAUUCAAUUAUAUAAUUUUAAGAUGAUUUUAUGAUAAUUUAUUAGGGAUACAUGUACGUUAUCUAGAGGUGACAAUUUGGGUCAAAAUUAGUUUAUUCGAUUUGAUUCGAUGUGAAUUAAAUGGAUUUAUGUUUGAAAAAAAAUUGAUUCUUUUAAUAAAUGGGAGAAUUCAAUUUGAUCCGCUAACUAAACAAAUUGAAUCCAGAUUUGAGGACAUUGAUUCAUUUAUUUGUUUUGGAUUUGUUUAAUAAAUGAGUUAUAAACGAAUCAAAUAUGAUUCAUUCGUUUGAAGUUCAUAAAUUUUUUGUUUAAUUAAAUUACUUAUUUAUCUUUAAAUAUGUACAGAAAUUUUUAAAGUUUGAAGGCUAAUAUUGUAAUUAUAAAUGAUAAUAAAUUUGUAUUUUAUAGGAUUUUAAAUUUGUGGUCUUUUUAUAUUUUUUUUGCUUAAUAUUAGUUUACUAAUUAUAUUUUUGUGAACAAAUUCAUAUUCGAUUUGAUUCAUUAUGGAUUUGUUAUAGGAUAAAUGAAUAGUAAAUGAAUCAAACAGAAUAUUUGUUUAAUAAACGAAUCGAAUUCGAAUCAACAGAGUUUUGACACAAUUCAUUUAUAAUUCGAUUUGAAUUCAAUUCGUUUGUUCAUUUUGCUGCUCCUAACAUUAUCUGUUUAAGCUUUAGCUUCGUUUCGAACCUUCGGUCUCUUAUAUAUAUAUAUAAGAAUUUUGACGCCAUUAUCUUAUAAAUUAAAACUACAUAUAUAAAAACUAGUCAUAGAAAUUUGUCCAUAGAAAAUUAUUUGGAACUUCUAUAAUAAGAGAAAGAACUUAAAAGGGUAUAUUAUGCAAUAUAUUUAGUAUAAUUGAGUUUGUGCACGUAAUUUUUAUUUUUUAGAGUACAUGUAAUUUAAUUCAUUUAGGAUUAGAAUUCUCUCCUAUUAUUUUUCUCUCAUUGUCUCAUUUAGUCUUCUAAAUCUAGUGGAAAAGUUGAAUUACUUAUAAAUAAAGCGAAAAAAACUUGGCUUAAUUGUCAAUAUCAAAAUUUAAAAUUUAAUCUUGAGUUCUUGACCAUUUAUUUCACUGGUUAGGAGAGAUUAUGAGAAGGAAAAAAAAAAAGAGAGAAAAUCUUUUUUCCAAUUAAUUUACUCUCCUCUCUCACUUUUAAUUCUUUUACCAUGUUUUCUUGUAGUAAUUAGUUUGAUUCAAAUUCCUAUAAAUGUUUUAUAUUUUCAUUUUCCUACAAAAAUUAAUGAUUUUCGACAUAAAUGACAAAACUUUGGAAAAUAAAAAGACACCAGUGCAGAUGUUUCAUUACAGGCAUGAAUCAUGAUGCACUGUCAUACAAUUCUUUAAUAGUAAAGUUUAUCAAAUUAAUGCAGACUUUGUAGAAAUAUGUUGUCUAGCGGCUCACGUUAUGGUUAAGUUUGCUUUCAAAACUAUUGACUUCGUGGUCCGGUUGGACGAUAUGCUUUUCUAAAUAAAUUGUGUGAUUCUUAAUUUGUCAUCCUAGGUUUAACAUAUGAAAUUAUUUUGAUUUAUAUAUUAAGCAAAAUGGAUACCUAGUGUCAGAAUAAUUUUAUUUUUCUUUCCUCCCUUCAUAUUCUCACCAAAAAUAAAAUAAAUAAAUGAUAAUAUAUAAUAAAUUAACUUGAGUUGGUGAGCAGUCGUAUGGUCACCUUCAAUGGAUCUAUAUUUAUUCAGAAACCCUUCCAGUUUAUUCGCUGUAUUUAUUAAUCAACUUAUAUCUAGUUUACUAAUGAUAAUGAUGUUGAUAACAUGAAUGGGCUAUGAUUUCAAACAGUCAUAUCCCUUAUCCCUUCGAAUUAUCAUAUCACGCACUCUCUAUAGUUAAUUCAAAGAAGAUUAGUGGGUGAGUGGUUUUUAAUUAAAAUUUUAAGAUUGACACUUCUGUAUUCGAAUAACGUAUCAAGUAUUAAAAAAUUAAUUUGAGCUGCUUUGCACGUACCUUCAAUUUAAGUUUGACAAGAAUCAUAUAUAGAACUAAGAAAAGGAUAACAUUAAUAUUAUAACGUCGAUAUAUAUCUAAUUUACAUAUCCAGUCAUCAAAACCAAAAUCAAAAGCACCAUCACAUAUGAUAUGAUAUAAUAUAUUAUACAUAAUCAAACUGAUGCAUCAGCUGCUGCUGUUGUGACAUUAAUCUGAACCAUCUCUUUCUGACUCUCCACUUUCUCUGCUUCUCCGAAUUUCUCUUUCUCUUGCAAUUUCAAUUUCACAUACAUGCCAUACACAUAAGAGCAAAAGCCCCAAGCACAAAGCACAGUCGAAACAGCCUUAACGCCGCCAAAACUGUCGCCGUAAACCACGACCCCGGCGAUAACGUUCAUGGCCAAAAUCGCAGUCAUGCUGAUCCCUCCCGUCAACGACGACGUCAGGAACACCAUCCCCGCAGUACCCAUGAAGCAAAGCUGCCAAGUCACCACAUUGCCGAUAAUCGUCAGGCAGUAAACCACCGGCCCUUUGUCGUAAACCGUCUGUGCCUCUCUCUUCAUCUCCGGAUACCCGCCGUCCGACGCCAUCCCGACGGUGGCCAACGCCGUGGCGGCAAUCUCCAUUACCAGCUGCAUUUCCAUCACCAUUGAGUAGCAGUAAACUUUCUUGUAAAUCAUCUCCAUGACUGGCAAAUACAAAGCAAAUAACAAGCCAGCACCAACAGUGCAAAAAAACCCUAUGAAAUAUUUCGAUUUGGGCAAGUCAGGAGACUUGUCAUGGCCCGAGCCUAGGGCUAAGAGCACUGAGCUUAGGGUUAAAAGAAUAACACAGUUGAGAUUUGAGAAGGUGAUUUUUUGCUUUACUAUUAUGACUGAGAAAACGAGGUUGAAUAGGAGCUGAGAUGAUAAGAGGAGGGCUGAAGUUGAGACCGGCAAAUAUGAGUUACCCCAAGAGAAGAGAAGAUUGUUUAAGCCUAAGAGGAGGCCUACCAAGAUUGACAAGGUGAGGACCUUGGUAGUGAAGUGUGAGAAUGGACGUCGCUCGGUGCACUUGAAGAGGUAAUAAGGGAGGAAGAUUGGUGGGAGGAGUAGAGGAAAGCCAGCGCAUUGAACCCAAGUGGAGACCCAACGGCUUGAGCCUUUGUGAUUGAAGUAGUACUUUGAGAGCAAGCUUGCUGAGACUGAGCCUACAAAGAGGCAGAGAUAGUUGGUGACCAAGAGAACGAGAUAGCUCUUGCUUGUCUUGGCCUUUUGGUCCUCUACUCCUUGUCCAUGCAACUGGGUUCUUGUUGGUGGUGUUGUUGCUGUUGCGGUCUUGUUCAUCUCUAUGAAUGGGAGAGGAGGGAGAAGAGGAAUUUUGCACUUGUGUUUCGGUUGUGGUUGUGGGGCUUGUUUUUGUACUAAGUGGUUUCACUAAUAUAAAGGGAUCAGUGAAAUUGAUGAAGCUGGAUGAUGAUGAUGAUGAUGUGCUUUUGCAUAUAUUUGCUUUUCUUUUCUUUUCAAGAUUUUGUUGUAAUUAAUAAUUAAUUAGCAACCUUAUUUAAGCCAAAAGGUGGGGUUAUUAUAUGUUAAAAUCGUGGGGUCUCGAUGGACCUUUCGGCCGAUAAGGGAGAGGUUUGUUUGAGUUUAGUGAUGGUCAUUUCGGUUGGUUGGCGGCUUGAUUUAGGCUUUAGCCAAAUAUCCAAUCAUUAUCAAUGAGUUUGAUUUUCUAAGAUAAGCUUUUUUCUUUAAUUGCAUCCCCAUCCAUCAUCUCAUUUAAGGAAAAUUAAAAGAGAGAGGGAGAUUAUUUUAGUGGAAUCGACAUUGCACAUAAAUAUUGGAUGGAUGAUGGACACUAGGUGCUUAUAAUCUAUGUAACAAGGAAAAUCUAUAAGUACAGAUUAGAGAAAAGAUAAUAUGAAGUUUGAAUAUGUAUAUACUGACAAGAUUGAUGGGUACAUUGUGGAUGGUGGGCAUGAUUAUAAGAUGGAAGAUGACAUGAUAUAUUCGUGAAUUUAGUAGAGUGCUUAAUGGAGAGAGAGAAAAGGAGAAGAAUAAGUGGAAACGUAGACAAAUGGCAGUUGUUAGAAAAUGGCAACUACAGAUGUAGAGAGAGUUGUGAAAUUGAAACGGUUACUUUGACUGUUUCUGUUUCUCUUUCUUUUGCUUUAUCUUCUUCUUCUUCAUAAAUUUAUAUAUACAACACAAAGUUAAUGAAUGAUGCAUGAAUCAUGAUGCAUUGUCACGGCAGCGGCAUUGACAAAUGCCGAGCGUUUCGGUUUUUAGUUAAGCGGGUCUCUCGCAAGUGUCCCUCCUUUUUUUAUUUCUAGCAUGCGUUGCCAGCUUUGCCCGCCGUGGUUCAUUUUAAGGGUGUUCGUGGAUCGGAUUUUACUGAUUGGAUAUCAAUUCAUAUCCGAUCUACGAUUUUACGGAUUAUAAAUUUUCAAUCCAAUCCAAUCCACGGAUCGGUGAAAUGCAAUUCAAAUCUAAUCCAUACGUCUGUGGAUCGGAUGCGGAUUCGACCCAAUCCAUAUCCAAUUCGCCAUUUUACGGAUUAAUUUGCGAACUGAAAAUUUUUAAUUUUGUCCAAUGCACGAACUAACUAAAUAAAUAAAAUUAAUUAAAAAUAAUUUUACUACCGAUCAAAUUUAAAAUUAAAUAAGAUUUAAAUAAAUUAAUUGUUUAAAUAAAGCUAGAAAAUACAUUUAAAGUUUCAAAAUAUAAUGCACCAAAAAGACAAAAAUCUCAUUCAUUUAGACCAAUAUAUAGAAAUUAACUAUUUUGGAAGCUAUAUUUUUUUAUUUUAUAUUAUUAUCAGAUAAGAUAUAAUAUAGUGUUAUUGUAACUAUAUUUUAACUUAUUUAUUUACUAGUAAGUACUAAUGUCAUAUUUACAAGUUUUAUUUUUUAAUUAAAUAAUUUUUUUUACGGAUUCACGGAUUUUUAUGGAUUUACAGAUGUAAAUCCAAAUCCAAUCCACCGAUUGCGGAUUAUUAAAUUUUCAAUCCAAUCCAAUCCAUCAAUCCACGAAUCGGAUUUCUACGAAUCAGACGGAUUGAACGGAUCGCAUUGGAUUCUGAACACCCCUAGUUCAUUUUACUUAACACACUCAUUGUUUUUGUUUUUAUUUUCUUUUUCUUGCUUCAUUUUUUUUUUCAAAACUAUUUUUCUUUUUCGAUGAUUGUUUUCUAACACAUGUAUAUUUAGAAAUAAUGUAUGCCCAAAACAGGUUUGCUUUUAUGAUAUGUUUGGUGUGACUUUCAAAAAUAUUAUUUUUGAACUAAUUAAAAAUUAUGAAAAUGGUUUUUUCUUUUCCCUUUUAUUAUGUAACAAAUUCCUCUUUGAUUCGUUUGUUGUGCACUAUUUAAAACAAUGUUUUAGGGUGUGUUUGAAAAUAAAGUGCUGUAACUUUUAAACUGCUAUGGAGUAAAAGUUAUAACUGUGGAGUAUAAGUUGAAAAAAAAAAUUUACUAAGUUGUCAAAGCCCAGUUACAAGUGUUACCAAACACCUUAGUAGCUGGCUUUGACAGCUCAGUUAUCUCACCACACUCCCAAACGAACUCUUAGACCAAUUAAGAGAGAAUUGAUGAUUUAGAGUUGGUAGGGAGAAUAAUUCUAAAAUUAGUAACACAACCAAUAUUAGAUAAUAUCUGCCAAGAUUUUGCUCAUAAAUAUUAAUGCAUCUAGCUGGGCAAGUCUAGCCUUAGGCUGGAUUACCAUUUAAGAUUUUGAACAAGUGAAUUAAAUUCAUGAUUUGAAUCAGAUUAUGGUGGUUGUAUUUUCUAUUUUUACACGUAAUAAUGCCCAUAUUGAUAUUUGUAAUAAUGAAUGGUUAUUUUUUUUAAUCUAUAUAUUGAUAUUUAUCUAUAGUAGACAAAUUAAUGGGACAACCCAACCAUUUAUUUAAUAUGCUCAGUCAAUUAUUAUGGGUAAAAUUGGCAAAGUCUUGACCUCUACUCACUUUGUAUAUACACAACAGAUUAAAAUGGCACUCAGAAUUUAUUAUUCAUGUGUUUGGUUUUAAAAAUAAUUUGUUUUGCCCAAAAAACAAAUGUAUUGAAUCGGCAAAAAUGGAUAAUUUACCCCAUUUUGAUCCAAAUUGUUGGACCUUAUUGUUUUUUAAAUUAAAAAAACUAAAGUGUAAUUUUUCAUGUACAAGAUUUUAAAAAGAAAAAGGAUAUGUACAGUCAAAUUUUAAAUAAAAACAAAGGGUUUUGUUUAAUAUUGAGGUGCUGUAGUUUUUUAGGAAUAACUACUGUAAAAAAAAAUUAUAAUUAUGAAAUAAAAAUUAAUAAUAUAUAGUAAAUAUAAUUUUUAAAUAAUAAAUUUAACAAAAUUAAUAAAAAAAUAAUAGAUCGUUCAUCAUACAAAUAUAAAAUUAAUUAAUUUAGCUUCCAAAUUAUAAUAGUUAGUCUUUACCAAACACUUUAAUAUUAUAUUGUUACCCUACAGUUGUUCAAACUCAAUUUCAAAUGCAACCUUAAUUUAGGAGAUCAAAGAAAACUUCAUUUGCACAAAUUUUGUUGAUAUUUUAUAUAAUCCAAGAGAGUGUAAUGUUGUAGCUCAUUCACUAACUAAGAUAGCACUUGAUAGACAAGGUACAAACAUUUGGCGGGACUCAUUUUCAGCUGAGAUUAUGUCAAUAUUCGCAUAGUUGAAAUGUUGAAUGAAUGAAAAUGGUACUUUUCAUUAAAAAGAAAAAAAAAAGUGAAAAUUAUCCUUUUAUCCAAAUAUAGCAUUACAUACAAUACACGUACACAUGCAUACACAGUGGUCUGCAUUAAGCUUUGCAAUUUGCGUACAUCUGUGUGUUUUCACUUAUUAAUUUUACAGAAUUGAGCCAUUGGGCCUUGAAACUUAGGUCUGGGUUUGAAUAAUGAGGCCAUAUUUGUACACACAUGGGCCAAAUCCAUCACAAGUUUAUCUUAUGCACUGCCAAUUAGUUUUAUCUCGUAGGAACAUCGGGUAUCGUCAACAAUUUGUACCAUUAUAUUUUCUAAAAAAUCUUCUUUUUUUCGAUGCUUAUCCUAGGGUCAUGCAUGACUUAUAGGCGAUAGUAUGCAAUAUAUAUAACCCUAUGUAUUUGUGAGAGAGAUUUGUAUAGGAUAGUCCUAUCGUCUUGUAAAAUUUGAGGUGUUAAGGAUCAGUCAAUGAGAUUCAAUUAAUUGGUAAAAUAGUCUUCUUCUUCUUCUUAUUAUUUUAUAUUCAAUUUUAAGAGAAUCUCAUUUAGAAUCUCACCACGAGGCUCAUUAUUUUACUAAAUAAUUGAAUCUAAGUGGUUGAUCUUCCCACCUCAGCGAGUUAAGAUUUUAGAACUAGCAUGUAAAAAUUUUUCUCCCUAUUUGUUGGUGUCAACUCAUUUAACUCUUCAAUUUUUUUUUCACUGAUAAAAGAGAUAUGAGAUUCAACCUUUAAUUUUUCUUUAUUUAUUUGGAAGUAAACUGUAAAUUAAUUUUUUGGCCUCUCCUACCAUUUUGAUCUUCAAUAUUAUGAAAAAAAAAAAGAGAACUUAGUUUUCAAUAUUUACAUACUUUUUUAAAAAAGUUGUUGUUAUUAUUAUUAUUUUUGAUGACACCAUCGAAGAAAGCCCAAAUCUAUAUUGAUUUUUGGAUACCUAAAAGCUCAACAUGCGAUGAGGGGAAAUUAUGUGAUUACGCAAGAGAGUCCGUCAUUGAAACUAAUCUUAAAUGGCAUAAUAUUAGGUUGAAAAUGUGAAAUUAGGUCAAAUUUUUUAAUUAAAACAUUUAUUAUUAUUUUUUUAAUAUUUUUGCCUAAAAAAAACUUUAAAAAUAAAAUUGCAAAACUGAAACUUGCGAAGCAAAUGACGAUCAAGCCCAUUACCCGUAACCCAAAAGGCCCUAACGGUUCCUUUUUCUUUUUCUUUUUUGUCUUGGCGGGAAAGCCUUGACGAUUUUCCCGCCACGGAGAGACCGACAAGCACAAACAAGACGAAGUGUUUACAGUUGGAAAUUAGGGUUCCAAAUCGCGUGACGACUGCAGCUUCCGAAACAUCGUACAACAAAGAAAAAAUGGAGGCGUUUGGUGGAAUCUUGGUUGACGAAAAAGCAGUGAGAGUUGAAAAUAUUUUCUUGGAAUUUCUAAAGAGGUAGGCUUCCCUAAAUCCCUAACCAUUUUUUUCAUUUAAAAUUGUAGUUUUUGUUAAAUGGGUGUUGAUUUUCGCUCCAAACGAUGAUCUGGGCAGUUUUAGAUUAGAUGGAAACAUGGGCGGAGAGUCGUGUUACGAGGCCGAGAUCGAGGCCAUGAGAGCCAACGAAUCCAACACCAUGUUCAUCGAUUUCUCUCACGUUAUGCGAUACAAUGACCUUCUUCAAAAAGCCAUUGCCGAUGAGUAUUUAAGAUUUGAACCGUAUUUGAAGAAUGCUUGCAAGAGAUUUGUGAUGGAGCAAAACCCCAAUUUCAUUUCUGAUGAUAAUCCUAACAAGGAUAUCAAUGUUGCUUUCUUCAACAUCCCUUUCUCUAAGAGGUAAUUUUUAAUGCUCAUUAUUUAAUCGUUUCAAUUGUUCUUAAUUCAGGCAUUGGUAAUCAAAUUUACACACUAAAUAUCUGAUGAUUAUGAAAAAUUUCAUUAGUUAUGAAUUGUUUGUAUGUGUGUGUAAUGCUUGAGCACAGAUUGAGAGAGUUGACCACGGCAGAAAUUGGGAGACUGGUGUCAGUUACAGGAGUGGUGACUCGAACAAGUGAAGUUCGACCUGAGCUACUUCAAGGGACCUUUAAGUGCUUGGAAUGUGGGGGAGUCAUCAAGAAUGUUGAGCAGCAAUUCAAAUAUACUGAGGUUAACCUGCUUGAGUAUUUUUACAUGUUUAUGUGGGUGAAUUUUCACUGCCUGGCAAUAAUCGAUGUGUUGUUGCAUUUCUUUGGUUUCAGCCCACAAUUUGUGCGAAUGCAACAUGUUCCAAUAGGACAAAUUGGGCAUUGCUACGCCAAGAUAGCAAGUUUGCUGACUGGCAGAGGGUGAGAAUGCAGGAGACUUCCAAAGAGAUUCCAGCUGGAUCCUUGCCCAGGUCAUUGGAUGUUAUUCUCCGCCAUGAUAUUGUCGAACAAGCCAGAGCUGGAGACACGUAAGAUCCCCAUUAAGUCAAUAUGUAUCAUUUUCUUUUUCCUAUAGAUGUUAAUGUUAGUUACUUGUUCUCGCUUAGAAAAUAUCAUAAGAUAUUUGCAAGUCAUUAAUAUCUCCAAUCUUUAUUCACCAACAGGGUCAUUUUCACUGGUACUGUGGUUGUCAUACCUGACAUAUUGGCAAUGGGCUCUCCUGGGGAGAGAGCAGAAUGUCGCCGAGAAGCUUCUCAGCGCAAGUCCUCUGCCGUUGGACAUGAUGGUGUGAGAGGUCUUCGAGCAUUGGGAGUGAGAGACCUUUCCUACCGGCUUGCCUUCAUUGCCAAUUCAGUUCAGGUUGGUGAUACAGUGGCUUAUAAUUCAAGUUGGAUUAUGUGACGAGUUUGUUCACGCAGUUCAUGUUUCAUGCUUGCUUGUUUCUUUAGAUUGCUGAUGGUAGAAGAGAUACCGACAUAAGAAAUAGGAAGAAGGAUGCCGAUGAAGAGGACCAACAUCAGUUCACGGUGGGUUCAACAUGCAGUAUUUCUAGUUUCUUUAGUAUAGUCCCAUUUUCUAGAGAUUUGUUUGAUUAUCAAUCACAGCUACUUCAUGCUACUUCAAAUCUCUAUUUAUAAUGUCUUUCUGUACUUUACUGAAAAAAAAAAAAUUGUCAAUUUCUUUACUUUGGGCUUAUUUAACAUUAUUUCCUUCUAACAAUUCCAUUCAACCAAGUCUGGAGGGAAUUUGAUUUACAUAACUAAAUUUUGGAACUGCUUAAAGUAAAGAUAUAAUUUGCAGAUAGGAAGUUACUAAUGAGUUCGGAAUGUGUACCACAGAUGGUGUUAAUGAUUUCAGGAUUCUCAAUAUUGAAUUUUGAUUUUUAUUGUGAACCUAGAAACUAUAUCAAAUUCUAGAACUCUACUCACUUAUUUUCAACUGACAGACAGAAGAGAUAGACGAAAUCCAAAGAAUGAGAAAUGCCCCUGAUUUCUUCAAUAAGAUAGUUGAUAGCAUUGGCCCAACUGUUUUUGGUCAUCAAGAUAUAAAGCGAGCAAUCCUGCUCAUGCUCUUGGGUGGUGUUCACAAGCUUACUCAUGAAGGCAUCAACCUGAGAGGAGAUAUUAAUGUUUGUAUAAUUGGAGAUCCCAGCUGUGCCAAAUCUCAGUUCCUUAAGUAUGUCAUUUUAUUUGUUCCUUGGGUUUUUGGUUUCUAAUACAGCAAUUCCUGGUGUUUAUACUGCUUGAAAAACUUAAAUAGAUGGUCAAUGCACUUGCAGAUAUGCUGCUGGUAUUGUUCCUAGAUCUGUCUACACAUCUGGCAAGUCCUCCUCUGCGGCGGGCUUGACUGCAAGUGUUGCCAAAGAACCAGAAACUGGGGAAUUCUGUAUCGAGGUAGCAUUCAAUUCUAUUGCUUUUUGUUAGGUUGAGUUAUGAUAUGUCCUUGGAGACCGGAAAUAAUUGACUUCUGAUUAGCCCUAAUCUUCUGAUGUGUGUUUUCCCAUCAUAUUCUUUUAAGUUCCUUAUUAACCACGUACCUCUGAGUAUACAAUUUCUGCUUGUUCAGGUUCAGUGACAAACGUGUGUUGUUUAUUUCCAGGCAGGUGCACUGAUGCUUGCUGACAAUGGUAUUUGUUGCAUUGAUGAAUUUGACAAGAUGGACAUCAGGGAUCAGGUAAUUUUUAUACUGUUCUAUUUGGAGGAUCUUAUUUGCCAUGCAAUGCUGAUACUUGAUUUCCAACUGCUUAUGAAGGUUGCAAUUCAUGAAGCCAUGGAACAGCAGACAAUAAGCAUUACAAAAGCAGGUAUACAAGCAACACUGAAUGCCCGAACAUCAAUUCUAGCUGCUGCUAAUCCUGCAGGGGGGCGCUAUGAUAAGUCGAAACCACUGAAGGUGAGAAUCUUUGGAAUAUGGUACCAUUGUAACUGAUUUCCUAGGCAUUUGUGCUACAAUUUUUCAUGUCCUCAUUGUGAACUGAUCACUUUGGAUUUAUCUUUCUUCCCCAGUACAAUGUUGCGCUGCCUCCUGCUAUUCUUUCCAGGUUUGAUCUGGUAUAUGUAAUGAUCGAUGAUCCAGAUGAUCAAACUGAUUACCAUAUUGCUCACCACAUUGUGAGAGUGCAUCAGAAGCAUGAAGAUGCUCUAGCUCCAGCAUUCACAACUGCACAGCUGAAGCGUUACAUUGCAUAUGCUAAAACUUUAAAACCAAAGGUUGGCUGUUUAAUCUUUCUAUGAUCAUGAUGUGGUUUUUGACUUGAAAAUGAGAUUUUAUGUUAUUGUACUGCCUAUUUUUAACAUCGAUUCUAUAAUUCAGCUAAGCUUGGAAGCCAGGAAACUGUUGGUUGACUCUUAUGUUGCUCUCCGAAGGGGAGAUACAACUCCUGGGAGCAGAGUUGCAUAUCGUAUGACAGUUAGGCAGCUGGAAGCAUUGAUCAGGUUGUCUGAGGCCAUUGCUCGGAGUCAUUUGGAAACUCAGGUACAUAUAUUCAUGAAAUAUGUUAUGCAUAUUUCAUUGUUAUGCAUUGUCAUCAUAUAUUCAUGAAAUUAUCCUUCCAGGUACAUCCGCGUCAUGUUCGUGUAGCAGUAAGACUGCUAAAAACAUCUGUAAUCAGGUACGGUACCAGUGAAAUUAUGCCAAAUAUCCUCUCUUCUAAAUGACUGGUGAAGAUGUGUAAUUUGUCUCUUCAUGCAGUGUGGAGUCCAGUGAGAUUGAUCUGUCUGAGUUUCAAGAAGAUAAUCGUGAUGAUGGUGAUGGUGGUGGUGAUGGAAAUGAUGGCAAUGAUCAAGGUGAUGCUCAACCAAGGAACAGGACUCCUGAACCGGCUUCUGGAAUAGCUGGUGCGAUUCAAUCACCUAAAUUCCUUCGAUUUUAUUUUAUAUGACCAUUUUUAAUUAAGGAAAACCUCGCCUUUUUAUUGUCCAGGAAAUGGAGCCAGUUCUGCGAACCGACAAGGGAAAACACUUGUUAUAAGCGAUGAAUAUUUCCAGAGGGUCACCCAAGCCCUGGUAAUGCGCCUUAGACAGCAUGAAGAAUCUGUAAUACAAGAAGGUAACUUCCUGAACCAUCGGUCUUUCAUGUUCAUAAGUGAAUGGUUUGAAUAUAUCAAACAUAAGGUCUUUGGAGAUAGGGUAUUUAGCACAACCGUUAAUCUUCUUCCAAAUAUGAGUUUUUACCACAUUUGGAUGGUCAACACUAGCUGGUGAAUCUGAAGCCCUGCUUCAUGAUUAACCACCAGGACUUGUUCCCACCAUGCAUGAUCCAUUAAUAGUCAUUUUUCUUAAGCAAUUUCUGAGCUUUUUGCCACUUGCAGGGACUGGACUUGCUGGAAUGAGGCAGAAGGAUUUGAUAAAAUGGUAUGUGGAACAACAGAAUGAGAAAAACACCUACAGUUCUAUGGAGGAAGUGAAAAAGGAAGUUUCCAAACUCAAAGCUAUUAUUGAGGUACGAUAGUACUCAUCUUAAUUCUGAUAAACGAAGCUCCAAAUGUCAUAUUUCAACUUAAUAUUGUUUCGUUAAUUAUUUUAAAUAAUCAAAUACUUGCAAUGCAGAGUUUGAUUAGGAGGGAAGGUCAUCUGAUAGUGGUGGAUGAUGGUAGACAAGCAGCAGCGGAAGGUGAAGGGCGCCCAUCUAGAGAUGACAGGAUAUUAGCCGUGGCGCCAAAUUAUGUCAUUGACUGAUAUGCAAAUGGAUCAACAAGUGAGAAGCUACAAGAUCUUUCUACGGUUCAUAAGCUAUCACAAGCUGGACAGCAUGAAGGCUAUAUGGAUAAGAUCUUUAUGGCCAGCAAACUAGAAUCUGAAGCUUAUUACUGUUGAAAGUCCGUCAUGAAAAAGAGUUGGCGUAAAGGUAUUGGAAACACAAGUCAAAGAUUGAUGUGCAUGUUGUAAUCUGGUAAUUUAAGUAAUGUUACUGCUUCAUCGUGAUGAUGUUGGAUGUUGGCUCAUACCAUUAGUUUCUAAUCAAACAAGCUUGUACAAUUUAGAAUGUAACAAGAACAUUGCCUUUGCAUAACUAAAUCAAGUGGGGGCUUCUUCAUUACUUCUCGACUGCAUAUAUUUUCUUUUUCUUUUUCUUUUUCUUUUUAGCUGUCAGAUCCCACCAUGUUUUUUAAAGCUGAGGGAAUCAGGCGAGCCAACACUAGUACUUGAGCUGUCUUGGAUUGGGAAAGGCGGUUAUUUCUUACCAAUCCUUUGUGUUGUUAGUUGUUACAUAGAACAAAAAUCAAAUAUGCUUAGAUUAAUGAGCUUGCUGUCUGGCCCUGAUCUGGCAAUGGCAUUUGCUUCCAAGCUUAUCAAUGGCACGCUUCAUGUGGGUCUGUUCCUAUCUCUGAAUUGUGACAAUCGUUUUGAACAACUUAUUUUCUUGUCGGUGUAUGCAAACCUUUUGCCAGUUGCUACAUGCUACUACUUUCAGCCACGAAUGAGCUGCAGUGCAAGUUUCAUCCAAUUUAUCAUUGUUAUUAUUAUUAUUAUUUGUAAAGCAGUUUUGAGAAAUGUUUGUUCAGAUUUUGGCACAUGUAACUUGAAAAAUGAUCCAUUAUUGUCUAUUCAGUACGUAGACAGGAUGUCAAUUCAUUAGUUGGAUUUGCCUCACCAACAUUUUCUUGUUGAUCGUAUCCAGGGUGAGGCCACGGGUCAGGUAUGCCAAUUGAUUAAUAAAGUGAUUUGAAAAAGAAAAACAAAUGGGUGGGCUUGGUUCUAGUAUCGGGUGAGCCCAGUAAAUUAUGUGGGGACUUGGGCCUACCCUUCAGGCUUCUGAGCUAAAAAAUUAAUUAGCAAACUAAUACAACAGCAGAUAUUAAAAUUUGUCAGGUAAAUUUCACGAACAGAAAAGGAUUAAGAUUAUAUUUAAGUACUCAAAUUUUAUAUUCUGUGAAAUAAUCUUUUGAAAGUUCUAUUAACUCAAAAGAGUUUAGUGGGAACAAUAACAUAGGGCAGGCAAUUAGGUCAAGAGACUCGAACAAACAAGCCUCUAAUUUAUCUGUCAAAACUAGGACAAUUUGUUACGUGUAGCAUUUUUAUCUCUCGAUCGCUAUUCAUUUUUAUAUGCACGAUCAGUUGAAUAAGAAAAAGAAAUGGAAUGUCAAAAUCAAAUGAAAUGCUUAGGUUAGAAAAGUUAACGUAUUAAAGUUGGACUAGAAUAGGCAAAUAAGGUUAGAGAAAGCUAUAAAAUUAAUUACACUUUCAUUUUCAAUGGGAGAAUGAGUCCUUAUCAUUAUCAAUUGAGUUUUGCACUCAAACGCAAUGCUACGUCAUGUUCAUUUUCUUGUUUAAUUAUGCAAUUUUGAAAUGGACUACUUGUAAUCUUGCACCAUUUCAUGUGUUGUCACCUCUAUCCUCAUCCUCUCAACUUGCCCUAAUUUUAAUUUUCCUUCUAAUUGCUCGUACCAACUCCACUUUGCCUAAUUUUCAAGUUCAGAAUAGUCCAAAAAACAAAAUGUUCUUCUUUCCUAUGUACAUAAUUUUCAUACUACCUAUGUGCAAGUGAAUCUGCACAAUAUGAAGAUUCAUUAAUCUACUUCUAUUACAAAAAUAAUUUUCCUUUUUUCUUUUAAUAAUAAUUGCUUACAUUUUUAUUCUGUCAUAUUUAUUAUAAAUUAGUACAUAUAGGAAGGACAUUAUUCUAAUGACACAGGCAUUAAAAUAUAAAAAGAUGAGAAAGAAAGUAAUUGAAACAUUUUGGAUAUUAAAUAAUUUUAUUAAAAUAUGCACUUUUAUUUGGAACUAGGCCAUAGCCCACAGUUUUUUUUUUUAUAUAAUUUUUAUAAUUUUUUUAUUUGUUAAUCCAUAAAUGCCUUUAUUUUAAAGCAAAGUGAAUAUUGUCAAGAUUGGCAACUCAAUUUUGAAAUAUCCAUUGUAGAAUCUUGUCGUAAUUGUUUUAGUUAAAAAUAAGAUUUAAUAGAGUGCUAAUUUUAAAUCUUAAUGUUAAUUUAAUACUCGAUACUGUAAAAUUUAUUUAAAUAUAAUAAGUACUGUUGUUAAUUUAAUACUUGACAUUGUGAACCUAAAUGACUGAAUCAAAGAAGGUGUUGUCUAAUACCUGAUAUCCUAUUAUAAAUAUCUUCUACUCUAUUAAUUCCUUUAUCAGUCAAGACUUCUAAUAUUAUUUCAUACAUGGGAAAAUAAGUACAGUUUCUUUUAUGUAUUUUAAAAAUUGUCAUUUUAUGAAAUUUAUGAUCUCCAACAAAUUAAUUAAAAGCUUUCUUAAGGUUAAAUAAUAAUUUUUAUUUUUUCCCGUUUACAAAAUAAGUAGAACUAUUUGAACUCACCAAAUUUAUCUCUUAACUCAUUUUAGAAAAUACAUUUAUUAUUUAUGAUUUAAAAUUUAAAAAUCUCAAAUUCACCUUUCACUGAUCUCUUUCUCUCUCUCCUCACAAUUGCAAAGUUUCUCUCUAUCCUCACAUUUUACAAACUAAACUUUCAAAUUCACUGUCUUUUGAAUUUUUUUUUUACCUUUUUUAUUAAAUCAUAAUCUCUAUUUCAUGGUUGGUAAAAGUUUGUCGAUGGAUUUUACUUUAUGAUAACAAAACCAAUUAUUUACCCAUAAAAUAAAAUAUGUAAAUAAAUUAAUGAGAAUUGAAGAUUUAAGAAUGAAAAGAGAAGAAAGGGUUAAUUAUAAGUAAUUCUGUUAGAAUUAUUUUGAUAAUAAAAUUCUUAAUUAAAAAUAUGAUGUAAAGAGAAAAUUGAUAGGUUCAAAUAAUCUCAACUUUACUCCCCAUUUAAAAGAGAGAUGGUGAGAGAGAAAAAACAAAAAACAAAAAUAUCAAUACAAGAUUCUCAAAAAGAUUGUCAAGGUUUUGGAUUAUGCUUUCUCAUCUAAUGAGUUUUGAUUUAGUAUCUUAAAGCCAAUAUCAAGAAAUAUCUAGAAGGCAUGUGUUGAAGGAAAGCGUGUGAUCAAUAAUAAUUUGAGUCAACACAAACAAUUCGAAUUCACCAAAUAUAUAUAUAUAUAUAUAUAUCUUUGGUUGUGGAUAAUGAGGCAUCUUUGAAAGCAGGGUUUUUUUUUUUUUUUUGUAGUUAUUAUUUCUUCUAGGUUUCGUAACCAUUAAAUUCAACUUUCCCACCAAAGAAGAACAGAAAAAAGAAAUUCAUCACUUGCCAGAUAAGAAGCUCAUAAAAAUAUAUAAACGGUCAUGGUCAUAAAAUCGACCAAGUAGCCAGAAUUAAUGUCGACAGUCGACACCCAUUCUUCCAAUACAAUUAAAUUUUUGUCUUUUCACUGUUAACACCUGAAGAAUUUAUCAUACAACAAACACGAUACAUGGGCAUCACUUGCUCCUGCUAUAGUUAAUGGGAUGUGUUAACAAUUUUUUUUUUUUCCCCACACAAAAAUCUGCAUGAAGAUUCUUGGAUCUUCUCAAAUAUCGCGACAAAUCUGUAGUCUUGUUUCUUUUUCUUUUUUUUUUUUUUUAAUAAAAUUCCAUAUGCAUUCACAGAAGAAAAAAAAAAAAAAAGGAAGAAGAAGCACAUACGUUUCCAAUUUAUAAAAACCAUGCGUUAUUGUCGAUCAUAAUUGAAGGUAUCGUCAACAAGCAAGUAAUAUAAUAACCCAAAAACACCAACAAAGUGUUGGCUCCACUGGCAAUGGAGUCCCCUUGUGUGGUUUGACUGAGUUUGCUCCCCAGUUCGAGUCGCAGGGAAGUCGCCUUUGUUGGGAGAACAUGUGCCUCUCGGUUCGAGCGGGGACUUAUAGUCUGGGUUGUGGUACGGGCUUAAAGGUGCCUCCCACAGUUGGGGCCCUCCCCAGAAUACCUCGUGGUCAAAACAAAAAAAAAAAAAAAACCAAAAAACCAAACCCGAUAAUAGUCCAAACUUUGUUAACUCAAGAUACCCAAAUGAAUAAUUUUUAUUUUGAUUUGAUAAAUAGUCAUUAAUCCAUUUUUAUUGUCUUCUUACUCUGUUUUUGCUUAAAUUCAAAAUACUUAUUAAGCACUCCACGUGCAUGCAAGCUAGCGAUAUGAUAUCUUGUUGCAUGAAUAUUAUGAAAAAUGUUAAGAGCGUCUUAUGUCGUGUAUGUAGGACCAGAAAUUUUAUCUCAAUCUAAGGAUACUACUUAGGAUUUUUUUUUUUUCUGCUUCUCUUAUGAUUAUUAUUAUUGUUGAUGCGAGAUUCUGGUUGUCCUCGUUCUACGACCAGGGUCUCUGCUCGAUCAACUUCACCACGACCAGGAUCUCUCCUCGUAAAGCUUCUUCUCCAGAGGUUCCUGCGCACACAGACAGGUCAGAGUACGCCGGUUGUUUUCCCGGCGCAAACCCUCCGACGCUCAAGUCAGAAAUAGGGGUUCUGGGAAUGUUUGCCACGAAUCUUAUGGCUUCUUUUUAAUCUCAAUUCUCGGAACUUUCUUUUCUUAGUUCUAAUAGCAAAAAGUCUAACCCUUUUACCUUCGCUGGCUACCUUUUUAUAGGCUUCCUCUGAAUCCCAGUCUUCCGUAGUCCACACCCAUUAUUCUCCCCACCCUCGGAUGUGGAUGCCCCAUUGUAGUCAUUGUGGGCGAAUGGAGAUGGUCUUCGUGCCUUGAUUCUCGAAUAGGAAUGUACGUCUUGCCAACUGUCGUUGACCGGGUCUCCUCGCCUCGACUCCUAGCAGGAAUGGCCUUAUGCCUCUAACGGGAGUUCAUCCUCAUGAAUGGCAUAUUCGUGGACAAGCAGAAUAUUCUUGCUGCUGCUCCUCUGCUACCAGGCUCUUACAGAACACACCUGUUCGCAGAACUCUACUACCCAAUAUCUGCUCAUCACGUCUGGUCUCGUCGAAGUAUUUCUCUGAAACAAUUAUUAUUUUUUUCAAGUGCAUAAGCUAUUGAAAAGAUCGAAAAUUUGGCAACUACGUUCUAGCAUGUAAUAGAAUUUUCAAAAUUUAGGAUAACAUAGGGGAAUAUUUUAUUAUUUUUGAAAAAAUUGAAAAUAGAAUUAUUAGUCAAUUGACGGCUUUGAUUGUGAAAAAUUGCUCCAGCGAAGCCAUGUGAGAACAGAUCAACAUCAGUAUUAGAAACCUAUUGAAACUGGCCCCACUUUAUGAUAAUUCUGCCACCUUUGAUUGAAGUGAUUGCCAGCUCUCCACACUCCCCAUUUUACCCCUGGAAUUUUACACUUAUUUCAAGCCUAUCGGGGGCAUUUAUAAUAUUGUUUUUAAUAAUUGUUUUUUUUAUGAAAAUUAUUUUUUAAAAUGAUACUUCAAAAAAAAAAAAAAAGAAGUUUCCAAAUUACAUUAAACACCAAAUUGAAUACGUUUCUUUUUCUUUUUAAACUUGUUUUAAAAAAAAUUACUGAAUAAUCACUUAAUUGUUCGAAAUCAUUGUCAAUUCAAGUAUAACAAAUAAAUUAAUGGGAGAGUUGGCUAACAUGAGAAUUUUUUUAAACAAAAAAGUUAUGCGUAAAAUUCUCUAAUUUUAAAUUGAGAGGGAGUUACUAAAAAAAAGAAAAAUUUGCAAGGCGGGCAUAAAAUUGGAUAUAUAAAACUCAAAAGGGUAUAUUUGGAAAAUAAUUAGGAAACAAAAGGGUUUUUUUAAUAAAAAAAAAGAAAAAAGAAAAUGGGUAUUGAAUGUGUAUACGAUGAUGCCACGGUCAUAAAAUUAGGAGGGACACACGGUUGGCUCAAAACAGUUGCAUUGAGGUAGACUUUUAUUGAAGCCUUGGGGAGACAGACAGCCAGAGGAAGGAGAGUUAAAAGAAGUGAGUGCAUAGCUAUUCAGAUUCUUUUAGCAAACUUCUGCUUGCUGCACCAAGCCACCAACUCAACUCAGGUUUCUCUCUUUUUAAUUAUUUCAAUUUUUAUUAAUUUGAUUUGGUCCCCACAAAUUUUAUUUAGCUGUUUGCUUGUUGAUUAGAUUUUUCUUUCAGAGGGACUCAUUUGAUUGGAAAAAAGAAGAAAGAUGGGGUACUGGAAAUCCAAGGUCCUCCCAAGGAUCAAGAAAGUUUUCGAGAAAAACGGAACCAAGAAAGCUGCUGCUGCUGAGGCUUGCAAGUCCUUUGAUGAUUCAAAGGUUGUCUUUAUGUAUAUGUACAUAUGUGUCCUUUUUAUUUAUUUAUUUUGCUUGUUGUUUAAUUAACAAUUAUGUUGAGCUUGCUAUAUAUGCGCGUUUGUAGGAAGAAAUCAAUAAAGAGUUUGAAGAGAAGAAGCCUGAGCUCCAACCUAAAGUGGUCGAAAUCUAUGAAGCUUCUUCAGCUGAAAUCAAGGUCUCUACAUGAAUGAACAUACCAAAUCUGUUAUAGCUACAAAUGUCAGAGAGAAUUAAAAAGAUCCAAUUCAUGCAAGUUUUUAUUUAUUAAUUUAACCUUUUUUUUUUUUUUUGGCUUUGGCUUUGGCGUUUAAAUGAAAAUACAGACCCUGGUCAAGGAUCGCAAGGAGGAUGGACUUAAGAAGCACUCCACUGCUGUGCACAAGUUACUUGAAGAACUCGUUAAAAUCGGUAAAAUAGUUCUAUCACAUAUGGUAUUAUUAAUUAAAGUUAAGGUCAUGUGUUAAAAUCACAUGAGAAUUUUAUUAACAUAUAUGUAUGUGUGUAUAUACAGAGUUUCCAGGAUCAAAAGCAGUAAGUGAAGCAUCGUCAAAGUUUGGGGCAGCCUCUGUUCCGGGGCCAGUUUUCUUCAUAUUUGAGAAGGUCUCAACGUUUAUUGUUACUGAAGAAAAAGCAGCAGAGCCAGCAACCGCGGCAGCAGGAGAAGAAACAAAACCAGAACAAGAGACAACAAGUAGUAGUACCGCCGCAGUCACAGAGAAGGACGACGUAGUUGUUGAGGAAGAGAAGAAAGAAGAGGCCCCCGCCGGCCCUGAGAAAACUGAGCCGGCAGAAGCCGCCGCCGCCCCAGCCCCAACUGAGCCUCUUCCUGCCGCCGCCAAGGAGGACCAACCAGCUGCUGCAGAGCCACCAAAGCCUUGAGAACAUGCAUCAACUGACAAGACAAAUUCAUAUCCAUAUAUACAUAGAUAUAUAUUUCAUAUUCAUCAAGUGAAAGUGAAGUAAUAAUGUUAAUAUUUUGUGUACGUAAAAGUCUUGUAAAAUGCAAAACAUGAUUU
rnacentral:lncRNA from 1 species